UACGUUUAUCUAUCUGAACAGUAUUAUGCAGAUCCUAUUGAAGCAUCUUCUUGUUCCUUUUCUAUGCGCGAUCGUCGGGAACCAUUUUGACGUUUAUCAAAAGUAUAAAUACAUAUAAAUAGAUGAAUUAAAGGUAACAAUUAUGUAGUAGAAAAGGCAAAGAAUAGAAAACUGACAUUUCUCAAAAGAACUAUAAUAUUACUCACCAGUCGGCAGUCAUUCCAUCCUCACUAGUAAUCGCUCGAAGAACCACCACAUGAGAAUGAGUUCGUUGGUCGCCCUGAACUCCAACUGACUGCACCGGCAAAAACACAGCAAAGGCUUGCCAUAUUGAAUCAUAAAGGCCAGCAUCUCUAAUUGACUGAAUAAAUAUCUCGUCCACCUGAGGAAAUCAAAUUGAAAAAUUUAAACGUCGAAUUGCUGCAAUAGACGACUUUGUACUUCUGAUGUGUAAUAUCACCUGUCGAAGAAUCUCUAGGGCAUUUCCUUCCGUAACAUCACCCAAAACACGAACAGCAAGGCCAGGUCCAGGGAAUGGAUGUCUCUUCAAAAAUGAGUCGGGUACAUUUAAUAUGCUUCCCAGUGUCCGUACCUUACAAAGAAAUAAAAAUACAGAGUAUAGCAGUUUUUGAAUUUCCAAAGAGCUAACAUGGAAAAAAAAAUUCACAUUAUGUUAGUUCACUCGUGCGAACUUUUUAGACUAAACAUGAUAAAAGUUGUGUGGAAAUAGACGGACAAACCUCAUCUUUAAAAAGGAGUUUAAGGGGCUCGAUAAGCUUCAGCUUCAUAUCUUUUGGAAGGCCUCCUACAUUGUGAUGACUUUUGAUUGUGUGAGAGUGGGUCCUCCCGCUCCCAGGGGGUGGACACGACUCUAUCACAUCUGGAUAUAAAGUUCCUUGAACCAAGAAUGUAGGUCUUUUCCCUAGUUUCUGCUCUAACUCGUGAGCAAAAUCAUCAAAAAUCGCAAUGAAUUCUCUACCAAUUAUCUUUCUUUUCAUCUCCGGGUCUUUGACACCUUUUAGCUUACUGAGGAACUGCUCAGAUGCAUCAAUACAAGUAACGGGCAGAUGUAAGUCUCUCUCAAAGGUUGACAUCACCCGCUCUCUCUCCUUAUACCUAUGAAACAGAAAACACCUUAUUAGAUCAAAUCUGUGAUGAACACUCUUCUAUCGAUAAAGUAGUAAAAACUGAGUUACCUUAACAAACCAUUGUCAACAAAAACACAGUGCAGCCUAUCUCCAAUUGCCUUGUGAAUGAGAGUCGCUGCAACAGUUGAAUCCACUCCGCCAGAUAACGCACAAAUGACAUGCUCGUCGGAUCCUACCAUCCCAUUUAUGACUCUGAUCUCUUCCUCGAGUACGUCUUGCAUCUUCCAGUCAGCAGUUACCCCACAAACAUCAAAAAGAAAAUGCUGCAGUGUUUCCAUUCCUUGUGUCGAAUGAGUAACCUACAACGAUUCGAAGAAACGAACAUCAUAAUGAGGCAUCAAAAGUAUUGCCACACUUAGGCAUCCGAAAAAUAACAUAAUGCUGGCCCAUGGAAAUUCUCCAUAAAUCACCGACUUCCACCAAGAAUUUUGAGACCAAUAAGUUUCACUUGGGGAUAAGUAGCACAAUAUAUCGAUUUCACACACAAAAAUGCUGUCGAAACAUUGAAGGAGCAACCAAAAAGAGAUAUCUUGUCGGACUCGAGAAACUAAACAACAAAAAAGAUAUCUUGAUGGGUUGUUGUAGAUCCAAGAGUGAAAAAAACUUAGAAGUAUGUGGAUAGUGCUACACUUCUACAAGUAUUCUAGCUCAACUCCAGAUAUAUAAGAAGCCAUAAAUUUAUGAACAUUUAAGUAUGUUACAUCAAACUAUACUAGAAGCGAAAAUUCACCCGUAUUCAACAAACACGUGAAAGUGAAACAAACAACCCAACAAGGCAUUAAUACAUCACUUAGCCAAAAAGUGCUUAAUCCAAAAGCUAUUUCUCUUCAUACAAGAAAUCGACAAAGAACAAUCGCUCAUGUUUAUUUUCGCUAAGUUUCAAUUACAAUAGGGCAAAAUUGAUUCUUCCUACUACUGUAUAAAAGAUCUACAAGAAAUCGAUAUAAUUAUCGAAAGAAACGCAAGUAUUUACCCUAAGGAACACAAUUAUCGACAUUUUACCUCUGGAUGGUACUGAAGCCCAUAGAACUUCCUCGAAGGGUCCGCGAUCGCCGCGACGGAGCCCUGGACGCUCCUCGCGACCACAUUGAACCCCUCCGGGAGACGAACCACCUCGUCCCCGUGGCUCAUCCACACCGUCUGAUGCCCCCCGGCCGCAUCGGGGCCGUAGAGCCCCGAGCCGCCCGCAUCCGCGGCGACGGCGAUCUCCAUCUUCCCGUACUCCUGCUUCUCCCCGACGGCGACGACGCCGCCGAGCUUCUGGACGAGGAGCUGCAUCCCGUAGCAGAUGCCGAGGACGGGGACGCCGUUCUCCUCGGCGUAGCGGAGGAAGCCGUCGGGGAAGGAGGGGGCGGCGUCGGUGUGGACGGAGUGGGGGCCGCCGGAGAGGACGACGGCGCGGGGGCGGAGGUCGGAGAUGGAGGAGAGGGGGGAGGUGCCGGAGAUGCAGAGGGAGAGGACGGAGAGCUGGCGGAUGCGGCGGGUGAUGAGGUGGGUGUACUGGGAGCCGUAGUCGAGGACGAGGACGAGGUUCCCGCCGGCGGCGGUGGCGGUUACGGCGCCGCCACCUCCUGCGGCGGCGGCGGAGGGCUUCGCCAUUAACGGGGUUGAGGCGAGGUUUAGGGUUAGGGUUAGGGUUAGGGUUUAGGGUUUGUAACAACCCUGAAUAAAUGGUAGAAAUAGUAGUAAUAGGAGUUAGUAUGGGAGAGUAGUAAAAGUAGCAGUUUUACUAGUUAAGAUGGAGAAUAAGGGCGGCAGCCGGUCGGAGAGGAGGAAGCGCGCCAAGCGGGACGGCGGGAAGGUGCUCGGGUGGAACUCCGAUGAGGACUAGGGCAUCCUGGGUGCUCCGAAGGAGAAGAGGGAGGAUCGAGGUAGAUGGGCGGAGGCUUCUGCAGGAUCUGGAGGGCGGGGGACGAGAGCGGAGGAAGAGGUAACUCGAUAGCGGGUAGCGGGCGGUCGGAUUACCGGAUCGGGCGUAAAACACGGACCCAAGCCCCGCCCGGUUGUGGAUAGUGCGGAGUAGGCGGACCCGCGAACCGCUUACCCGAUUAUCAUGUAGUUUCGGACCAAACAAGCCCACCCGAGGCCCACAAGCAACCAGAUUCAACCCAUCAGGCCUCAAUUCCCAUUUUAUGUCAAAUUGCUGUUAAGCCCUCGUAGGAUAGUUUAAUUUCAAUUCAGUACAAGCUGUAUGGGAUAUAUAUAGCUAAUAGGAUGUAAUUGGAAGGUAUCGAUGAAAUGAAAUAUUGCUUAUCUUCUUCCCCAAUCCUUCUCUAAAUCCUUCUUUGCUUCUAAGCUCCCUAAUUCUCCUCUCUCUUCUCUACUUCUAAUCCCUAUCCUCAUCUCUCUGUAUCUCUCUCUGUCUCUCUCAUUCCCAUCAUCUCCCAAUUCACGCUCCUCAAUCCGAGGUCUCAUCGGAUCGCGAUUGGGAUCAGGUUGGUCACGCCAUCAUCCCGGUUAGCCAUCCAUCUCCAUUGAGGGUUGCUAACAGGUCCGGCACAUUACAGGGUUUUGGGGGGGCAAUCAAAGAGAAGAGUUUAUAGGCGAGCGCUCGUGAUCGCCCAACUGUUUUUGAGAAAUCACGACCGUCCAUCUUUUCUAAACAGGCGAAGGUAGGUUUUUUUUUUUUUUUUUUUUUUUUUUUUUUUUUUGCUUGAACUCGGCAGAGUUGGAUAAGUCGACGCCGACUUCAGCGAUUUUCAAAAAGAGCGCAUGAUUUUUUCUUCAUUUUUUUAAAAAACAAAAUAUACACAUCAACACCAAGAGUUAGGUAUCAAAAUUCAUGUACCAACUCCAACAUAAGCUCAAUUUAAUAUUCAUUUUACAUGUUUAUUUUUUCUUUAGAUGAAAAAGACUCUCAUUUACUAAUAUUUUGGGUCCAAAUCAAUAGCUAUCUGAAUAUGAUGUACCAUCGCAAGCAAAUUUUUCUUUGUUUAAUUAUUUUAUGUGAAAUCCACAUAUGAUUGAUGUAUUGUACAUAGAGAUGGAGAAUUUUUUAGUACUAUAGUUUUGAUUCAUCAGUAAAUAUAAGAGCUUCUGCUUCAGUAUUUAAAGUUGAUAGAACAAGCAAAUAAAUCUACACCCCAAAUAAUGAAAACUAAGUAUAGCGUAAAAAUUUUGUUUUCUACUACGACAGAAGCAGUAGAAAAAAAACGUCGAUUAUAUAAUUUAAGCUUUAAUUUAAUCUCAAGUUAAACUUCGAUGUGUUAUACUAGCUGGAAGAUUUAACAGAUUUUGGUAAUUGUUCUUCUGAAUUAAACCAAAUGAAAAACUAAAUUGACUUUUUCAGAGGACUGUUGUGAGCUGAUGUUUUUGUGACAAUGAGGAAUUAAUUUAAGAAACAUAUGUUAAUUUUUUGGAUUUAAAUCAACUUGUAUUCUUAUUUAAAAACAAAGAUCACCACAAUUUGUAUAAAAAUGUAUUUUGGACACCUUGAGUAAGACAAGUUGAGCACUCCCAUAAGAAUCCACAUGAAACCCUAUGCCUAAAUCAUGAAUUUAUUAAAUUAAAAGCCAUAUGGAUGAGAAGCACUUCUUAUAAGUUAGCUAUUUCAAGCUCUACCAUUGAAUCAUUCAUUUAAAACCUCUCUCUCUCUCUCUAUGUUAUAAAUAGAUAUUAGGAUUGCUACGAUUACCCUAUAACACUGCACUUAUGCAUUACUGAUGUGUUAUCCGCAGAUUGACUUGCACAGCGUGAACCAACACGUCAGCAGAUAUAAGAGAGAUCGAUAAGAGUUACUACCUAUAACAUCUCUCUGCAAAUAUAUAUAUGUAGAUGCAAUACCAUGUGUAUUAUCAAACCAAUCUCUAUCUCUUUCUCUCCUUGAGAAGAUGCAAGAACUUCAAAAGAACACUCUCAAACUCCCCACCCUAGACCACUCACAACCCCUCCACCCUUCAACCCUCAACUCCCUCUCCAAAGCAUGCAAAGAGUGGGGCUACUUCCACAUCUCCAACCAUGGCAUCUCAACUGACCUCUACCGGCAACUCCGUGCCAUCUCUCUCGACGUCUUCAACCUCCCUUUAGGCACCAAACUCAAAGCAAGCCCUCGCACAUCCGUCAACACUUACACUCCACACUUCAUAGCGUCCCCUUUCUUCGAGACCCUCCGUGUCUCUGGCCCUGACUACUUUUCGUCGGCAAAGAGCUCGAGUGACGCCCUCUUUGAAACACCGAACGAGGAAUUAUGGUACAUCUACUCUUUUUCCAUAUGUUUCUAAGUUUGUAACUAACCCUUCUUUUCAUGUAUGAAUAGCGAAUUAAGUUCUUCAAGAAUAUGGAAGCAAGAUGAUGGACCUAUGCAAGAAGAUAGUUUACAUCCUUCUAAAGUGUUUAGGAGAUGGCCUCGAGACUAAAUACUACGAAUCGGAGUUCGGUCAGUGCCACGGAUAUCUUCGGAUCAAUCACUACACACCACCAAAUGAUAUCGAUGGAGUAGAAGGUGUCGAAGGGCUUGGAAUGCACACUGACAUGAGCUGCAUAACAAUUUUGUACCAAGAUGAGACUGGUGGGCUUCAAGCAAGAACUCAAGAAGGGGGUUGGGUGGAGAUCGAGGGAAGCGAGGGGGCUCUCAUCGUGAACGUCGGAGAUUUGAUGCAGGCGUGGACCAACGGUCGUAUGCGAUCGUCCGCGCAUAGGGCGGUCUUAAGGAAACCGACCACCUGCUUAUCUUUCGCCUUUUUUUGGUGCUUUGAAGAUGAGAAGUUAGUACUUGCACCUGAUGAAGUCAUCGGAGAGGAGGAACGGAGAAUUUACCGGCCUUUUCUCUGCAAGGAUUACAUGAAAUUCAGGCAUAAUAUUGAGAAAGGGAGGUUUGAGAAAGUUAGCUACACUAUCGAUGGGUUCGCGGAGGGUGAUGCUUUAGAUUCUAAUGAAAAGAUUGAGAAAUAAUGGGAAAUUAUUUGCUAUUUAUGCUGCAUUUGUGUAAGUCUGGUGGCAUGGAUUAGUAAUUAUCAUGUGUAUUAGUGAAAUUGAAUGAGAUAACUUAGAAGAGAAAAAGUUAUAAGAAAUUUGAUCACGCAUUCGACGAAAUUUCAUCAUGAAUUUGAUUUCUGGUAAAAUCAAAUUUUGUACAUACACAUAAUUCAUAGAUGGGUUGGUCCAAAAAUAAUCCUUAUAAGUGGCAAAAGGCAUGGUAGUCAGUACCCGAGGUUUCAAGUUCGAAUCCUAGUUGAUUCACAUUUUCAGCUAAAUUUAUUUCUAAAUAAAAUAAACGAAACGGAUAGCAUGCUACCAAUCUCUCUCAAAAAAAAAAAAGAAAGCACUACAUGGCAUUUCUUAUGUCAUGCACCUGCAGAGUUUGAAAACUACUAGACAGAUAAUAAGGCUUGUUAAAUUCAAGCUUAGGAAAAAAGCGACUGCAGGCUUAUAGAGAAUCUUAGGAAGAACUACUUUAAUCCGAAUGUUAUUAAUGCUCUUAAAAUAGUUUUACUCAAACUAAUCAGACCCUCGAACAAUAUUAACUUCCUAUUUCAGUCAUGGUAAUGUAAAACACUUAUCAAUGAUUCAACCAUCGAUAAUGUAUCGAGAUUAAAAAAAAAAAAAAAUUGAUUUGCAGAAGCGUCGCUCAGUUAGAGUUAUAUAAAAAAGCACUGAAUCAAACGUUUGACUUCUGCUUCUCAAGCAGAUAAAUUGUUCCAGUCCAAACAUGCACUGCAUCAGACGAAAAUUAGAUGGUCUUGCAGUGGUAGAACAUGGUGUUAAAAUUGUUCUAAUAUACAAAAAUUUAAGUUACACUAUGCUCAAACUUUAAUUCUUUAGAUUUUUUUGUUCGAACUUUAUAAAUAGUUGGAAUUAAGUUUUAGCUAAAUAUAUUAAAGAAUCCCUAACAUGAAAAUAAGGUUACAUCUUACUUUUUAUGGCAUCAUCUAUCACAACACUACUACAUCACUUGCAAAUUAACUACACAUUAGUAUUCAGCCAACUAAAUUAGAUUGUGGAACUAUAUUGCGACAAUUUAAAAAGUUCGAACAAAAAAUUACAACGAAUUAAAAUUUUGGUCCUCAUAGUUUGAGGACCAAAAGUGUAAUUUAUCCUCUACAAAAUGUAAAGCUGCUGCAGUAGAGGUUUGAGGGGUAAAAAUUUAAAUAAAAAAAUUGAUGCAUUUUACAUUUCGUCUGUUCUCUGAAACUAAUGACACUAGUGAAGGCCCGCGCUUCGCUGCAGAAGAUUUGCGCAUUUUUUAAAAUAUUUUGAACAAACUAAUAUAUUUCUGUAUUUACGUUGUUAUCAUUUAUUUUUAAAAUUUUAAAUUUAAAUUUUUAAUUUUCAAAUCUAAUUUUAAAUUUUAAAUUCUAAAAAAUUAAAGAGCUGAAAAAAAAUAAAACAAAUUAUUUAAAUAGAGAGGAAUAAAAAAUAAUUUGAAAAUUGAAGCGAGCAGAGAGAGGGAAAAAAGCAAAAAGAGCAUUGUCCGCCGCGCCCCGCGCUCCAGCUUGUCCGCGCCACACCGCGGGCCGUCCCACGCUCCUGUGUUUUUUUAUUCCAUUAAUUAAGAGAAAACAAUUAAAAAAAGAGACAAAAAAAAACAAAAAAAUUUAGAAAAAAGGUUAAUUUUACAUUAAAAAAAAAUAGUAAUUUUGCUCUUAUUUUGAACUUUUGUAAAAUAUUAUUAUUCAAGACCAAUCAAAUUUAAAGGGGACUAUUAUUGUCUGAUCUUAUAAUUUUUUAUCCAAAAAUUAAAAAGUUGAAAAUACCGACUGCCUUAUGCUUUCGAUAGCAAAACAACUCUACACAGAAGUAUAUAAAUAGUAUUUCAUAGUUUCUACCGUAUUUAUUAGCAUUCAUAAUAAUUAGCAGUUUAACAUAUAUAAAAAUUUUUGCUAAUAUUUCAUCAAAUGCAGAGAGAAUGAGAGAGAUGUAUAUAACCCGCACAAUUUGAAAUCGCAAUCAAAACUCUAAAAACAAUGACAAAAAAAAAAUAUUUUGCCAAUUUGUUUAAUUUCCUAACAAAAAACCCCAUUUAUUAUUGCGUUAAAACUCAGGAGGUUUGAGACUUAAGUUACUGUUGUUUGAAAAAAAAAAAGAAAAAAAAAAAGAGAAAAAAGAUGAGAGUGAGAGGUGCUUCACCGACCUCUUGCAUGAACUGAUAAGAGAUGCCCGAGCUGCAGCAUCCUUUGUGGAAAUCUCAUAUGCCGCCUCCUCUCCUCCUCUCCCUUCCUCCAAUCCAUUCUCAACUUUGUUUCCACUCUCUCUCUCUCUCUCUCUCUCUCUCGUCUCUCUUGUUUACCAAAGAGAGAGAGACCAAAAAGAAGAUCUAGCAAAGAGAGCUGCUCCAAGAGUAUAAUAUAUAUAUAUAAUAUAUAUAUAUAUAUAUAUAUAUAUAUAUAUAUAUAUAUAUAUAUAUAUAUAUAUAUAUAUAUAUAUAUAGGCGACCGGCGUCGCACCCUCGCGCGCCCCGCGCCGGAGCCCGCGCCUCCGCCUCCCACUGCCGCUCGCCUGCGCCUCCGCCUCCCGCCGCCGACCGCUCGCGCCGCCCGCUCGCGCUGGGGAAAGGGGGAGAGAGGUGUCCGCGUCCCGCGCCGCCGCCCCUCCGCUCGUGCCCGCCCGCUCCGUCGCCCACCCUCGCCCACGCCGCGCCCCGCGCCGGACCACCCACACUGGGUGAACCUGCGCGCGAGCGCCCGCGCCUACUCGCGGCCCCGACCUCUCGCGACCGGCGCCCGCGUCCGCGGCGGCUCGCCUAGCUCCGCUUCGGCCCGCGCACCCGCCCGCGCCCGCCGCGUGCCCGCGCCGGCCCCCAAGGCCCGCGCCUCGGCCCCUCGGCUCGCGCUCACUCGCUCGGGCUCCCGCUCGCGCCAGCGCCCGCCCUCGCUCAAGCCCCGCGCCCGCGACCGCGAGGAGAGGGGUGAGAGGGGAUCUAGAGAGUGGGGAAGAGAGAGAGAUCGAGUGGAGAGGAAAAGAGGAGGGGCGGGUGUGGAGAGAGAGAAAGUGUAGGAGAGAGAGGAAGAGAGAGAGAGAGAAAGGGGGAGAGAGAGAGAGAUAGAGAGAGGGGUUAGAGAGAGAGAGGGUGUGAAGAGAGAGAGGGGGCACAGAGAGAGAGAACGUGAAGAGAGAGGGGANGGGAGAGAGAGAGAGAUAGAGAGAGGGGUUAGAGAGAGAGAGGGUGUGAAGAGAGAGAGGGGGCACAGAGAGAGAGAACGUGAAGAGAGAGGGGAAAAAAAAAAAAAAAAAAAAAAAAAACCUAUCUAGUAAUAAAUCCCCUUCUAAGAUAUAUUAAUGUGGGGUAUUUACUAAUAAGAUCCCCAAAAACAAAAAAAAAAAAAACUAUAAUACCUGCUGAGUAAUUUACAUUAUUAUAUCAGGAUCCCCUCGGAGGGAUCGAUUGCCGGAGCACCAUUUGCCCCGACUCGUCCUUCUCGAACACCCGAUCGAUCAGCUCGUCCCAGGUCAUCCUUUGCCGGCUCUCCCGCGGCGAGCAGGGAGAAGCGGACUCGCCGUCCCCGCGGACGGAGCUCUCGUCGAACGUGCCGUACGUCGACGGGGACCGCGCGUCGGGCACGUCCAGCGAGACGGCCCGCCGUAGCGCCGCCCUGUGCUCCUCGACGUGCUCCCUUUGCAGCGUCUCCUCCCGCUCCAUCCGUUGUUCCGACGGCACUUCUUUUAUUCGUUCCUUUUCUAGCAUCAACUACAUACAGAAAAUACUGAGAAACUUCGACCCUGAACUUUACCCUUUGUCCCAAUUACCUACCUUGCUCUAUAAUUUUAACUGCGGCAAAGUUUACUGGUGUUGGCAUUGUUUACCUUUUUUUGGUUCUUUUUUUAUUAUUAUUGUUUCAAAUUCUAUGCGCUUAAAGAGUGGAUUAUUUGCGAGCUCUGUAGUUCCCAGAUCUUGUUUUGUUUCGACAAAGCAUGAAUUUGUUGCGAAUCAACCAAAAACAAAAAAGUACAAGUGCUGCUACUCCCUAGAAUCCUUUGUGUCAAGUUCUGCUUCCCGGGGGUCACCCAUCGCCUGCGGCUCGAUUAACUAUUUACUCUAAACCUAAUAACUUGUUGGGCUCAACCCACUAGCCCAAAAUGUUAUUGCCCAGUUACUGUAUACACCCCCACAUCUAAUCAUUAGCUAUUCGAUGUGAAACUAUUCUCAAGCCUUGGGAUGUCGGAUACCAAACUAUCAAGACCUGCUCCCCGGGGGGCCACCUAUCACUUAGCCCACGGCUCAAUUAACUACGUACUCUAGACCUAAAAACUUGUUUGGUCCAAUCCACUAGCCCAAUCUGCUAUAGUCCAAUUAUUGUGUCUAGCCUAUUCAAGCUUAUAUACCCUCACAUCUAGCUAAAACUACUCGAUGUAGGACUAUUCUCAAGCCUUGGGAUGUCACAGUUUACCAUACAAAACUUGAAGGGUGGGGGGGAGGGAAUUAAGGCCAAAUGAGCAAAAAUUAUAAAAACAUUAAGACCAAAUGAGCAAAUAAAAUUCAACUUUUUGCCGCAAGAAGAUAAAGAAUGCUUACAUCCAAUGCUUUCUGGGCUUCCCUGUGAAUCCAGAUGAUGGCAUGGUCGGUCGUGGCAUUGCAGGAAAGAACAAUGUGCUCAAACCUGCCGUCAACCGGCACAGCUGUUUUAACAACUGGGGGGUAUCUUCCACACCUGUAGCAAAUCGCGAGUGCCAAAAGAAGUUAACAUCAAAUAUGCCGAAAGCUAAUGCUUAAAGAUACAGCUAAAGUGCUCAAUUUGCAGCUGUGCUUUUAAAUGAUAUAGUAUUUGUGUAUAUGCCCUUCCAUUUAAGCAUUCUCAGGUCAUGGAUAAUUGAGCUGAUGUGCAUAUAUGUAAAUGGAUUAUUUUGGGAGAUACGGGCGAAAAUUUUAACUCUAGCAGGGAAUACAUACAAAUAUGUAGAUGUUGAGCCAUAUCUGAAAAGCUUUGAAUAAUUUGCUGUAAUGUAAAAAAUGACAUCUUCUAGAGAACUGAAGAGAGAAAAAAGAUUAAGGAUCAUUAAUCACUCUCAAAUCACUGCAGUAUUCACUGAUUCCCGGCUCGUAUAUUCAGCAAAAAUCAGAAUAAUUUUUGUUCAAUAAAAAUAUAGAUUAUGGUAAAUAAACAGCAUUUUCCUUCAUGCCAAAUAAUAGACGUGAAUUACAACAAUCAUGUGAAUUAAAAUGCACGAGUAAGUGACAUAUAAAUGGGUGUACACACUGCAAUUUAGGAAAGUGUUAGAACAAUCAUUAGACCUUAAUUCAUCGAGAAACCAUGAGCUAUACCAGAGUACAAAGAAAGGACAAGAGGUCAAAUUCCGAAAGGGCAAUGCAACUGAAUCGGUUAAUUGCAAUACCUGAACGGUUUUCUCUCCACGAUAUGAUAGAUCCGACCCGGUGCGUAAAGCCUCCUUGGAUCUCUCAACAUGACAUGUUCUGGUAUGCAUGUGUCUGUCAUGCAUCUUAGACAUAGCAGGCAUGGCAAACUGUAGAGAAUUGUUGAGUCAAGUUAGGUGAGUACAUUUUUGUACAACAAUAGGUCGGACAUGAGUUAGUUCGAAAAAUCAUAUUAAGGUGUUCAAUGGACUCUGCAUAAAACUUAUACUGAAAACAAAAACAACGAAUAGAGAAAUGCCACUACUUCACCAGAGGAUUGACUUGAAAACAUCUUCCAAAGGAGUAGCUGUCCGAGGCAAAAAAUCAUCCUGUCAAAAAAAGAAAACAAAAUCCAUUCUUAUCAAGUCAGUAAAGAGACACACAUUCUCGACUGCGACACUACAUACAACAAAAUAUUCCAUUAUUACAUAAAAAAGCGCGAAAGUAAUUAUUUAUGUAGCUGAUAUAAGAACAACGGCGGAGAACAUUUAUUGAAGUAUACCAAAACUAGAUGACUAGGUUCCAUUUGCCAUGUAAGACGCAAAUAAAACAUUUGGAAUUUUUUGUCGACAAAUUCCGUGAUAUAUUCAUCAAAAUGUUGUUCCAAAGAAACCAUCUUCGAUACGGAAUUCUCAAAUUCGGAUUUUCUUACAACAUAUUGUUAAUUCUCUCGUUGCUCGGUCAAAUAAUGGAUACGAUGAGCUCCAACAUUCUACAUUUUGCCCAUACCCUGCUCCUACAAAUAUAUAAUUUGCAAGUGUCUGGCUGCUAUACUACUAUUAGUAUGAUCGUCUACGUUCUCAUAAGUCAUUUUUAAUGAUGGCUUUUAUCGUUAAACAUAACUUAGAGCAUUUAAACAUUCUAGAAAUCGAAUUUCAUGAAUUUUUUUUAUAUCAUAUACCUUGUAUCAAGAGAUAUCAAAAUUGACAAUUUAAACGAACGGUACGUGGCGUUUCCUAGUUUAGCUACUAGUAUAGAAGAAUCGGAAUUCAUUAAAACUUUGCUAGAAAAUUCUAUUCACUAUCUAGAUGAAGAUCAAUAACUCCGAUCUUGAAUUGAGCUACUCGAUCUUCUAUUUUUAGAAGGUCGUUCAUUUCAUACCACCCACAACCCACAACUUCUCGAAUGCUCUAGAUUAUAUUUAACUGCGUCGAGAAUGACCGCGCACUACCCUGGUUUAGUUUGCAGUUCAAAAAGGUAAAUAAAAAGCAUGCAAAAGGUCAUACUUGGAGGACGACGGAGUUGAUAAUGUCGGCGUAGCGAACGGCGAGGUUCAGCGACAUACACCUGGCGGGCGCCAUGGCGUAGCACCUGACGCGCCUCCUGUCGACGUUCCCCAGCUUGUCCUUGUUCUGCACGACGACCAUGGCGAGCAGCGCGGCGACGCCGGCGCCGAGGGAGUGGCCGGCGAAGGUGAGGGUGUAGUCGGGGUGGGUCCGGAGGAGGUCGCUGAGGACGUCGCACUCGGCGUCGAGGACCCAGGCGGCGGCGCGGAGGAGGCCGUUGUGGACGUAGCCGCCGUCGAGCUUGCGCUUGCCGAGGCGGUUGUCGAGGAGGAGGGCGUAGUCGCUCUCGACGGCGAGGUUGAGGCCGCGGAUGGCGAGGACGAUGUCGGCGUGGGGGUGGUCGAGGUAGAUGAGGUAGGGGGAGACGCGGCCGCGGGUCUGGGCGUGGUCGCGGCGGCGGACGACGAGGGCGGGGUCGAGGCCGUAGCCGCCGGGCGGGGGGAAGCGGGGGCGGGCGAGGUCGUCCUCGUAGUUGGCGAGGAUGAGGCGGCACACGCGCGGGACGGGGGCGAACUCCGCGGCGGAGGCGAGGCCCCACGUCGCGCUGUCGUCGCAGCCGCUGUGGAGGAAGCGCUUCCACGCCCACCGCGCGCAGGCGAGGCAGUACACGCACUCCAGCAGCGGCAGCCCCAGCGCCAGGGACAUGGGAGGACGACGACGACGACGACGACGACGACGAAGAAGAUGAUGAUCGGAAUGGGGGAAGCUAGGGUUUUGAAUCCAUUGACGCCCCUCUUUGGGGAAGAAGAAGAAGAAGAGGAAAAGGGGAUUAGGGUUAGGGAUUGGGAAUGAUUAAAAAAAAAAAAAAUGGUGAAUUAAUGGAGUGUUGGAGUGGAGAGAUGCUGUGAGAGAGUAGGAGGAAGGGGACCAAAUUUAGAUGCUUGUUUCAAUAUUCCCUGAAGAAGAGGAAGAAAAGGCAAAAAAGAAAAAAACACUUUAUGGUCCUCAAACUAUGGGAGUGUUUGAUAAUCUUGUACUUAAACUUUAAAUUUAUUAUUGUUGGUAACCGAAAUCUACAAUUUCUGACCCGGUCAAAAAUCCUCCUCGAAGAGCACUCUGUGGAUAGUGACCCUCGAAAUAUGCGCCCUUCGAUUGGUCAAGCGAUUCGGCUGACGAGGGAUCGGGUCAACCGGAUUCGAAACCUCUACAGCAAAUUUGGUUCGGCUGGAUGAACCGAAUGAAUAAGAGAAGUAAGAAUUUCAGCCAAGAAAUAAGCCGAAUGGCUAAUACAGCACAAGAGCUGGUCAGCCUGAAGAGCCGAACACUGCCUUCUAUUGAAAGAGAACGGAAAAAGUAUAGAAAAAAGGGUUUUAGUUUACAACAGAGUGAUGCCCAAAGGGCAGACAGACUCCAGGAUGCUAAAUUACAGGAACUACUCUAAGUAGUAAACGCGAGAAAGAAAGGUGCAGGAAAAUAAAGAUGGUCUUUUGUGUGCAGGGGCGAAGACCCCUUUUUGGAGUAUUAUUACACUAUUUAUAGAUAGCCCCAUCGGUCAGUUAUUGUUCUUACACGAUCGGCCACUAUCUCCUCAUAUUCCGGACCACUUCUAGCCGAUCGGAACCGCAUGUAACUGCUUGCGAUUACCGUAACUUCCUUUAAUUGGCGCGAUACACUUUUCCGAUGCUCCCGAUACACGACCGAAUAGAUGCUUUUGAAGGAAAUAUUCGCACCUAAAUCUCAUCCGCGUCUAAUUGGCUCAACAAUUAUUAUAAUAAUUUUUAAUGUAGAUAUUUUUUUGUUAUUACAAUCGAAUUCUAUAAUCUAAUUUAAUUAGUUAAAUAUUAAUAAAUUAUUAAUAUAAAAGUGAUGUUAAAAAAAUUUUGUGAUCAAUGAUGUGACAAUAAUAAAAGUGCUUGUGUGUUUUUAAAAACAAAUUAGCUUUCAUGCUAUCAAAUUAUUUUCAAUACUGAGAAUUUCGAGUUGGCGAUUGACUCUAUUAAAUUUAAUCUAAAAUAUUAAAGUAGGUGAAAAAUAAAUUUUAUAAUUUUUCGAUAUUAUUUAUUUAGUGGUAAAAAGGCUCAAAUCAAUAAUUUUAAUGGUUGUGAUGAGUUAUUUGCAAGUUUAAGAUAUAAAAAUAUUCAAAUCACGUAAAAUUUUGGUAAAAUAAUUUAGUAUUAAUAUUUUUGAUCUAAAAUUUUAGUAUCGUAUCAUCAAUUUUUGUAAAAAAAAUUUUAAGCCGUCGAUUUUGAACUCUUUUGAUUACUAAAAAAUUACGAAAUUUUCUUUAGUAAUACUUUAAAUACUCAUGUCUAAAACGUCGGCACUCGAUAUGAAAGUUCCUGUAUUAAAAAUAAUUUAAUAGCAUAAAGACUAUCGUACUUCUAAAAGCACAAAAACCAACUCCACAUGGAGAGAGAUAGAGAGAGGGAGAGAGAGAGAGAGUUCUAUUUGGGUGCAAAAACCAACUCCACAUGGAGAGAGAUAGAGAGAGGGAGAGAGAGAGAGAGUUCUAUUUGGGUGCAAAAACCAACUCCACAUGGAGAGAGAUAGAGAGAGGGAGAGAGAGAGAGAGUUCUAUUUGGGUGCUUCUAAUAGCAUCAAGCUGUACUGGGGUGCUUAUAAUAACAUUAAGCACUUGAUGCUAUUAAGUUUUUUAACCGUUAGAUUAUUGAUUUGAUCAUUUUUAAUUCAUUAGAUCACAUAUUAUUCAAACCAAUCAUCCGUUUAAUUCUAGAGGAUCACUAUCAUCCUAACCGCAAAUUGCUUCAUCCAAGAUCGAAAAUUUAAUAAUAUUAAUGAAUUGAUAUUAUUAGAAAUAUUUCAAUAUAUAUAUAUAUAUAUAGAGUCCGGCUACUAUACUAUUGAUAGUACCAAGCUCUUGGUACUAUUGAGUUUUCUACCAUUAGAUCUACCCUUUGAUCAUUUACACCCGUUAGAUUAUACUAUUAAACCAACCAUCCACUCAACUCUAGGGGAUCACUAUCAAUUUAACCAGGAACCACUAUUAUCCUAACCGCACAUCCUUUCAUCCAACGGCCAAAAUCUCAAUAGUACCAAUGGCUUGGUACUAUUGAUAGUAUAGUAGCAUAAUUCAUAUAUAGUUGAGCUAAAAUACUAUCGGUAGUAAACGAGCCGUUUUACUAACGAUUUAUUUUCGAUGAUAGAGCUUCCAAAUUAACAAUUGGCUCCAUUAUAUAUGAUCUAAACCAUUUAAACUACCUAGAAAUUAAAUUUCACGCACUUUCGAUAUUGUUUUUUUACCCAUCAAGUGAACAGAAAAAUGAAUGGCUGAAAAUGAAUACUCUUUAAAAAAUGAUAAUAGGAGUCUUGUAAUCAAGAUCAAGAGUAUAGAUCUUGUUUUAAAUAGUUUAAAAAAUUUUCUAACAAAAAUUUAAUUGAUUUGAAUAUCUUUACGCCGUUAAACGAGAAAACGCCUCUUAUCGACCAUUAAAAUUAUAAAUUUUGAAACCCUUUGAUCAUUAGGCAAAUGAUGUCGAAAAGAUUUGAAAUUUGAUUUCUAAACACUUCAAGUGGUAUAGAUUAUGUUCAACGGAGCCGAUCGUCAAUUUGAAAGUUCUAUCAUCGAAAACAAAUCGAUAGUAAAAUUGCUCGUUUACUACCGAUAGUAUUCUAGCUCAACUCUCUCUAUAUAUAUAUAUAUAUAUAUAUAUAUAUAUAUUUGUACUCUCACUGUGAGAAAAAGGAAAUCCAAUAACUUUCUAGAAUAUUCUGGGUAUAUUUGCAAAAGUCCCAAGAUUAUUCUGGUCCUUUUUGACGUUUGUGCCACGUGGGCCAUUGUGGGCCCAAGUUUCAUAGGCAUGGGAAGAGGAUAAAAGGUUUACGUGAACCUGGUCUAUAGACCGGACCUAUUCGAGAAAAAGCUAUUCAGGUUGCUGCCUUGCGAAUAGCGGGUCUACAGGUGACAUGGUAGACACUUUUGUCUACAGACAAAUGAUUUGCAUGAACCGACCAAGUGUGGGCCCCACUAUUUCUCUCCGGAUUCUUCGUUUCAAUAAUUGAAAAACACAAAAAAAUAAAUAAAUAAAAAUAAAAUUUUAAAUAAAAAAAGUAAAUCAUCUCAUCUGUCAUCUCGCUGAAGGCUUGAUCUACAAUCAUUUUACUCAAAAAUUAUAAUUUUUUUAAGGCCAGUUUGCAAAAGAAAUUCAUAAAUUUUGAACUUUUUAAAAUUAGGCCGUCUUUUUUGAUUUUAUAGGUUCGGUCCAAAUUUUCAGCAAACUGACCAAAAUCUACUCUUUCUCUUUCCUCUUCUUUUCUCUCGUUCAUUUUUUUUUCUCUCGCCGAAAAAAGCAGCUGAGGCAGAGGCGUAGGCGGAAACGACCCGCCUCACUUCUCACCGUCAUGCUCUUGCCCUCGCCCUUUCCCUCAUCCGCGCACCCCCCACAUUCCUCACCUCCGACCACGCCGAGACCGCACCGUGACUUUUUUUUUUUUUCCUCUCCGACUCUUCUCCACCGUCUCCGACGACGAUGCCUCUCUCGCCCUUCCCCGCCCUUCUCGUCCUCUCCCUCUCCCUCCUCCUCUGCCGUCUCCGACAACAACGCAUCUUCGCCGACGCCGAUACCGUGGAGGUCACUGCGGCGCUGCAGCCUCGAAGCCGAGGAUCUUUAGCGAUGUCGUCGCCAUUGGCAGAGAGGGGUGACAAAAAAAAAUUAUAGAAAAAGUAAGAAAAAAAAUAAAGAUAAAAUAUUAUAGAAAAAAAAGAUGAAAAUGAAGUUGCACCGUUAAAAUAAAAUUGCAUUGUUUUAAAAGAACGUUGCACUAUUAUGAACAUAAGUUGCACUACUUAAGAUAUAAACUGCAGCUUUAAGAUAAAAAUUACACUCUUUAAACAAAAAUUACAUUCUUUGUGAGAUAUUUACACUGUUUUUUCUCUUAUUGCACUCUUUCAGAUGUAAACUGUAAUCAUUAAAAUGAAAGUUACACUCUUUAAACGAAAUUUGCACUAUUUGAGAGAUAUUUACACCAUUUUUUCUCUUCUUGCAUCAUUUGAGAUGUAAACUGCACCUCUUUGAGAGAUAUUUAUACUAUUUCUCUUCUUGUUGCACUAUUUUUUCUCUUGUUCCACUAUUUCUUCCCUUGUUACACUAUUUUUUCUCUUAAACUGCACCAUUUAUACUAUUUUUUUUCUUGUUUCGUUGAUAAUUAAGCCUUAAAUUUUUAUUCGAAGUAUCUUUCAACAGGUACGAAGAUAAUUUCUCCAAGAAUGUUAAUAUAGAAAAGGUCGAGUUUCGUCUGUACGGCGGAACUGAACUUCACACGUGACCAGAGUGAAAGUCACGAAUUUGUGCCAUACGCGAACUCACCGUAAAUUAUCAAACGAAAGAGUAUAUAUAAAAAAACGUAGAAAUUUUAGACGAGUAAAUUUUAUCACUUCAAACUUUUAAGAAUAAAUAUAAAAGUUAGAUAUUUUUAAGGGAUACAUGAGCAAUUAUUUCUCUUCCAAAUUAUUUGGUAUAAAUUUCGUAUUUAAAAAAUAUAAAAUUUUAUUUUCCUUAAAAUUUUGCUUGAUUCAACGGCCUUAUUAAGAUACGGUCUCUAAACGGGCCAAAAGUCGGCCCGCUAAAGCCCAUUUUAAGGGAGAAACCAUAGCCUGGACCGGAUGUACCACGUCAUCUUUGAACCGCUUGCUUUAUUUAUUUAUUUAUUUUUUCGCCUCUAGGGUUUUACGACCCAUUCAUUCACUCCUAUGUAUAUAUAUAUAAACGGAGACGCCUCCUCCCUCGCGGAGUCGCAAUCGCUUCCUCAAAAAGCUAGGGUUUUUGCAUCAGGACGAAGCCGAUCUAAGGUACUGAGCACUGCAACAGCUUCUUCUCCCAGGGCUUUUCCUCAAAUCGGCUUCUCCAAAUCCCCCUCCUUUUUUAAAAAAAGUUUUUUUUAAAAUUUUUCUUUGUGGUGCGAUUCUCUUUGGAAUGAAUGGAAUUAGGGUUUUUCCUUUUCUUUUUCCUUUUUUUUUUUUGGUUUUGGUUUAACAAUUCAUCGUUUGCGAUGAUGAAUCCUUAAUGGAGGAAUCUGAAAUUUUGGGGGGAUUUAUUCCACCCAAAAAAAAAUGAUUACUUUUCCAAAACUGCAAAGGAUUUCUGAGCAAAUGCCAUUUUUUUUGUAAAAAAAUAAAUGAAGCGGGAGUACUUUUUUUUUUCUUUGAUCUGUUUGAUUCAUCAAAAAUUUGAAUGGUGCGAUAAAUAAGGAUCAAAAAUAGAAUUAAAAUUAACUCAUUCCAAAUCUAUCCCGAUCCGAAAUUUUGAAAAAAUUGGUAUUAAUUUUGAAAAAAUUAGCAUUAAAAUCCGCCAGAAGCUAUCAAAUUAUAAUGGUGAUCAUCAUCUUUAUAAGUAGGUAAAGGUCGGAGAUGGCGUGAUCUAUUUUAUUAAAAUUACAUUAAUUUGGAUGGUUAACACCUAAUGGCGCAAUUAACCUAAACAAUUUUAUUCUCUAUGCAAUUAAAUUUUUGGUAAAAUUAUAUAAAAUUUAUCUGAGUAUGGACAAUUUUGAUUGGAUAUUUAAUUUUUCAAAAUUUUGAUUUUGUUAUCUAAUUUAUUAAUUUAUUUGAUUUAGUUAGUGUAAUUUAGGAAUAAUUGCGUGUAUGCUCUUCAAAAUCUCAAAAAUAUUUAAUUUAAUUUAUUUUUUGUUUCUAAUAUAUUUCACAUAUAUUUUUUUAUUCAAAAAUAUUUUUGCAGUUAUCACCUAUUAAUUUAUUUCGAGUUAACGUGAGUUAAAUAUUUACUAGAAUUAAAAAAUAUUUUUUUAUCUUUAAUUUAAGGACAAAUAAAAAAAAGUUAAUAAUGAUAGAAUAGUAUGAUUUCGUUUGGGAUUGCGAAGAGAUUGUGUUACGUGUGGUAUAAGAAAAUACUCUAUUUUUUUCCAUACGUAAUAUUGCGUUCCGCACAUCGUAAUUAAACUUUGUUUGGGAUUGCUGAGAGAUUGCAUUACAUGUGCUGAGAAAGUACGAUGAGAAAAUAUCAUGUUUUUUUUCAUACGUAAUAUUGCAUUCCGCCGCGAUGAGUCACCGCGAUGAGUCAGCUACAAUAUAUUUUCUACGGUCUCACCGGAAUGCAUAAGCAUAUUUCUAUAUGCCUUUACCCUAAUUCUAUUUUAUCUAAUAACAUCAAAUGGACUAAGCCUUAGUCGGUUAUGAUAUAUCUUUUACGGUAUCCCAACUCCAUUUUUUCUAAUAGUAUAAGAUGGACCUUAAUAUAUUUUUUGCGGUUCCACAAAAAAUAUAUAUUUUUAUAUAUUUUUAUCCUAACUCUAUUUAUCUAAUAGCAAUAGAUAGAUCUCAAUACUAAAUUAAACCUAACAAUUUAGAAAUAGAAUUUAACUCUAUUUUACGUAAAUAACGAUUACAACUAGUGGUUCGGUAACAAAAUUUAACUCUAGGAAUAUUUUUGAAAUAAUAUAGGGCAUAUUUGAAAUAAUUUGAAAUUUUAAAAAAGUAUUUUUAAUAUUAGCUUUCUAAGAUUUGAAAUAACUUGAAAUUUAAAAAAACAUUUUUAAUAUUAGUCUUCUGAUGUAAACUUAAAAGUUGGAAAUUUUUCAAAAUUGCCUCUAUAAUUUAUUUAGUUUUUAUAAUUAAAAAUUAUAAAAAUAAUUAAUUAAUUUAAAUUUAAAUUUAAAAAUAUUAUUUACCGACUUAAAUUAAAUGUAUUAAAAGAGUGAAUAAUAAAAUUAAAAUUACAGAGAUUGGAUAUCGAAUUUAAAUAACUUUUCUAAGGAAGACCAAGCGCGGCCGAUUCGAACCAAACCGGUUUAACAGCCCGUUCGCAAAGACCGGCUCCCCCGGUUUAACUUAAACUGGAAAAAGGCGAAGUUCGAGAGCAUCAUUCGAUCAAACCAAAGGGAAUCGAAAAGGGGGGCGAAAUUACCUCACCCUAAUCCCAGUUAAUCUCCUCAAUCCCUUCUACUUCUCUCUUCUUCUUUUUUUUACCUCUUUUUUUUAUCUUUGUAGAUUUCAUGACACAAUCUCAAUUACCUUUACUUUUUGUCUUUGUUUCUGUUUUUUUUUCCCUUAAUUAUCACAACUGGUACUCCAAAUUUUCUAAUUUGAAGCGAUUUUUCUCUUCAAAUUUGGAUUUUUUUUUCCUGUGUGUUGACAUGUUCUAUGUUGUUUAAAUCUUGUGUCGUGUGUGAUUAGGUUUCAAGUAUUUGCGAUAAAGAUCGCGUAGAUCUACACAUCUAGUUUUGGGGCGAUUUGAUUUGGGUUUCUGUAACUGUUAUUUCAUGCAGCAUAAGAAUUAAGGUUUGGAUUUAAAGUUGUUGUUUAGGCUAAUUUUUUGCAUAAUUAUCUGCAAUAGGGCAUUAAAUUUGUCCUUGGUUUGAUCAGUAAUUUGUCCUCUUCAUCCUCAUUUUGUGCACGUAAGGUGUUUGUGGAAAUGCCCUAGAGAGAACAUUGUUGCAUCUCUAGCUAUAUCAGUCCAUUUGCUUAUCUGUGGAAGCAUCCCACAUUUUUGGAGCAGCCAUUGCCUGAACCCGAUCUACGCAGCCGCUCGCGGAUGGUUCAGUUUAGUGCAAUGCAUAUCACUAAACAAAGGCAUGUUCUUGUGUAGACUCUGUCCGCCGAGCAACAUACAUUCGACGCUCAUCAAAAUGCGACUAUUUGCAUUUGGAUGGCAAUGAAAGAAAAAUAAUUGUCGGGACCUCCUCGAAUUUGAACUCGGCAGCAUAUGAAUUUGAGUUCAGUUUUGGUCCAUGUGGUAUGCGAGGUACAUUGAUGAACUUUUCCUAAAUAAGGAAGCUUCUUCGACCGCACAGGUAUAUGUUGCAGAUUUGCACUUACCAAAAAAUAUCGAUUCAUGCCUACUAGUUCUGUCAGUAAGCUGUUAUUAAACAUAGUUUGUAGCUUAUGCAAGGAGUUCGUCUAGUGGUGAUAUAGAUGAAAAAUGUAAAGAUCACUUUUCUCAGUCAAAUUUGAUGUAGCUCGAUACUCCUGAUAGAUACAUCUUAAUUCUUCGUCAAUCUCAGAAACAAAUUUCUCGGCGACUAACAGACCUGGAUCAAGUAUUUACAUAUUUCUUUUUUUCCAAUUCAUUUGCAUAAUAGCUGGUCUGAAGACUCUCCACCUUGAGUUAUCAGCAGUUUUCUCAGCAAAUCCGACGUCAGCAAGCGAAGGUCAAUUGAAGUUUCUGCAUGCUUCUUCCCAUGCAUUCCUGAUCACCUACGACUAAAGCAAAAAACUCUACCUGCUGUUACUAUUUGUAGCAUGGAACCGGAGUCAUCUCAUGUUCCACUAAUACCUGGUCUUCCCGAUGAUAUUGCUCUUCUUUGCUUAGCUAGGGUUCCUCGGAGAUACCAUCAUGCCCUGAGAUGUGUUUCGAGAAGAUGGAGAGGGUUAUUAUGUAGUGAAGAGUGGCGCUUAUGCCGCCAAAAGAACAAUUGGGAGGAGACUUGGGUUUAUGCCGUGUGCAGGGACAAGAACAAAGGUGUACAAAUUUAUGUGCUGGAUCCAGAUCGUGCAAGCCGGUGUUGGAGAGUCAUACAAGUUAUUGAAACUCCAUGGAUGAAGCGGGAAGGCGUGUCCUUUGAAACUUUGGGUAAGAAGUUAUAUCUCUUCGGAGGUUGCGGCGGAGGGAAAAAUGCCGUUGAUGACGUAUAUUGUUACGAUGCUUCUGCUAAUCGAUGGGAGACAGUGGCACGAAUGCCAACAGCCAGGUAAUGUGUUAUGCUUGGCUCUUUAAUUGUUCCGUAUUGCAUCUUAGUAUAGACUUUUUCUUUUUUAGUUCUGAGAUAUAUAUAUAUAUAUAUAUAUAUAUAUAUAUAUAUAUGUAAAUUUAUCCUGCAAGAUUUUCUAGUAUCUAUAUGUGUUGGAUAUCUGAAUUUCAUAUCUGAAACUUAAUCUCUUAUGCAUAGACCCCUUUAUUUACACAAGUGCCCAUUUCACAAAUAUUUUAAUAUGUUUGCAGCGACGAUAUUGCAGGUACGCAAAUGUAAAAGCCGCUUUUUCUUUAAAUCUCGAGCGAGUAAGUGGAUCUUUUCCUUCACAAAGGAUGAAGGGCAUUUGGAACUUACUAACUCCUGUUUGUUUCAAAAUAGGCAUUUUUGAUCGUCCUUCUAGAAGCCCAUGAAGACAUUUGACCCUUGGCUGUGAUUCAUAGAUAUCUGGCUCAAUAUGAUCUCAUAUUUGUGGAUUGUACUUAAAACUUUUCAACAUCUGUAAACAACAAAAUUUACGAAAAUCAAUUGAUCGGAAAUUGUUAUAUGCGUAUCAGGUGCUAUUCUGUCUCGACAUCUGUAAACGACAAGCUUUACGUCAUGGGCGGGCUUGGGUCAGAUGGCGCUGCACCGAAUUCUUUGGACGUCUUUGACUCCGAUUCGAAUACUUGGAGCUCGCACGAGAGCUCGAUGCUCACCCGCAAUGUUAUAAAGAUCAUUCCGGUUGAUGAGAAGUUAUAUACUGUGCACAACGAGACGGAGGAUGGCUAUCCCUUUGCCGGAGUUUACGAUCCCUUGUCCAGAAGCUGGCAUGCUGAAGAGAAUGGUAUUGCAGUGUGCUUCUACGGGCCAACGGUCGUUAUCGAUCGGACCGUUUACAUCAUGUUAGAUCAGUAUCUGGGGCCGAGGCUGAUGAUGUGGCAGGAAGAGACCAGCUGGGACCCACUGGGGAGGUUGUCGUACCUACUGGCGAGGCCGCCAUGUCAGCUCGUGACUAUCGGGAGGAGCAUAUUUGCGAUAGGGAGGGGGCUAAGCACGGUGAUCGCCGACGUGGACACAGCCGCUAAGGUUCCGGGGUUUUUAGUGUGCUCUUCGUUCCGACCGAUAUUCGAAGAUGAUUUUAAUGUCAUUAGCUGCAAAACUAUCACCAUUUGAAAUGACCUCUGUAAGAUAUCUAUUUUGCUUUCAUUUGGAUAUUUAAAUUUAAAUAAUAUUCAUAUGAAUCAUGUUCUUUUCCAAAUCUCUUCCUCAAAGCUUUGGCAAAGUGAUCUAUAUAAUGUGUUGCUUACAAUACUUCAUUGUGCCUAACCACCAGGUAGUGAUGUGAACUUUUGUGUUGUGAGGGAGUAGUUUUGUUCAAGUGAAGUUUUAGAUAUAAGAAAUGUAGGGCUUAUUUGGUUUUGCUUUAACAUGUAAUGUUAUUUGAUGAACUGUUGUCGGAGCAGCGCAUGUAGGAGAACUAUGGAUUUAUUAUGGUUUUUUUUUUUUUUUGAAUCGGCUAUCCAGCUUUUUAAAAUUUUGAUUUUACUAUCUAUUUUUUUAAUUUAUUUGAUUUGAAUUGGUCAAUAAUAUUUUAAUUUUACAAUUUAAUCUAAUUAUUUAUUUAAUAAAUUUAUAUUGUGAUAAUUAUAUAAAGCAUUCUAACGAAAUAUAUAAAAUAAACGACACAUUUAAAUUUCUUUAAAUUAAAUGUCGUCGACAAUCUUAAAUCAAUUAAAUUAAAAUAAAAUUAAAAUUUUAAAGGAUUAGAUAACUGAUUUAAGAUGGCCUAUAGUUCAUAUAAUUUUUGUAAGUUUUUUAUUUUGUUUUUUUCCAACAGCAAAAUCAUAAGCAUCUCAAAACAUGCCAUAAUUCCCCCUUAGGUAAUGUAAAGGUAAUGUAACAUCACUAUUAUUAGCGCAUCAUUAAUCACAAUAUUAUUAAAUUAUUUUUGUAUUGAUGAUAUAUUAAUAUUUAGUCACCUAAAUUAUUAUGUUACAGAAUUUAAUUAUAAUAAUUUUAAAAUUUGAGCUAAAGAUUAAACAAAUUAAAAUUUGCCACGGACUUUAUAGUUUGAAGAGCAAGUGCACAAUUCACCAUUAUUUUUAAGUCCAAACCAUGUCAUCUCGAAAUUAUAAGGUCAGAGAUUUGAAUCACCGUUUCAGUAAAGUACAAGAAUCGCUAACUGAUUCAAAAAUCAACCACGCCAAGCAAAAUCAAAACUUCAAAAACAUGCAUAGUCGUCCCAAUAGUUCAGAUCAAUUCCACACUUUCUUUUUUUUUUAAAAAAAAAAAACUAAUUUAUUUAAGUUAAAGAAACCAAAGGAAGAAAAAAAAAAAAAAAAAACUCGUAACACAGGAAUUUCAUCAAACAGGUACCGUGCGUGUACGAGGCGCGCCCCCAACGCCACUGCUCAGCACCCAUAUAUCUCCUUGAGCUUCGCCGCGGCCGAUUCGUCGAUCGAGUACUACAAACACAAAACACGCACAAAAGAAAUAAGAAAAAAGGGGUUUGGGGAGAGAGAGAGAGAGAGAUUAGGGUUCGCAUGUAGGUAGGGUUUUGAGGGGAGGGGGGGGGACCUUGUUGAGGACCCAGGUGGAGUGGGCGUAGGCGCGGCGGAGGAGGUCGGGGAGGGAGGUGGAGGGAUCGGCGUCGCGGUAGUUGACGAAGUUCUCGCGCGCGUACUUGGCGUAGUAGGCGCGCGUCUCCGGGGGGAGGCGCCGCACGAGUCGCAGCACCUCCAUGUACGCUCGGAGCCCCUUCUUCUCCAUUCGCCCCGCCCCCUUCCGAGGAACACUUACUUCACUGGGGAGCUCUCAAAAAUACCUACGACUUUAAAUUAAGGUUAUAAAUAGCGGGUAUUUCGUAGAGUCUUAUAGCGAAAAGCGGAUAACAUAGCAGAAGCUAUCAGUUAUGUAGAGUCGUGUAGCGAAAAGCGGAUAGCAGAUUUCAUAAAUAAAUUUAAGGGAAAACUUUAAAAACCCGCCGUGAUUUCGUAGUUUCUCAUUUUAUUCCCUGUGGUUUAAAAUGUAUCAAAUUGCCCCAUGUGGUUUCGUUUUUAUCCUUUCGGUAGCUUUUUCGUUAAUAUUUUAUUAAAUUAUAUACAAAAAACUUUAAAUACCCAUCUAGAUUUAUCAAAUAUUCAUUUUAGUACCCUUUAAAUUAAUUUUAUCACUGAUUUAAAAAUAAUAAUAAUAAAAUUGAUAAUAAAAAGAAAAAAAAAUCACAAUGGGGCAAAUUGAUAUAUUUUAAAUCAUAGGGGGGCAAAGUGAGAAACUACGAAACCACAGGGGGGUUUUUUAAAAUUUUUCAUUAUUUAAUAUAUUUAUAUUUUUUAUAAAAAAAUAUAUGGCUAAAUUAUAGAAAAUUUUUUAUUAGUAACCGUUUUUCAAUUUUUCUCACUGGUAUUUAAAAACCUACACUUUGUCUUCUUAAAAAGUAAAAAAUGCUCAUUUUAACCCAUCAUCGGUAUUCUUUUAGAGUUUCGUUUAUAUCCUUUUUUUUAUACCCAAAAUAUUUUUGAAAUCCUCUUCAUUUUUCAUCCUCGGCUGCGUCACCUCGCCCUCCACUGCGCCGUCUCGCCCUCGCCCACCUCUCCGUCCACACCAACCUUGAAGAAAAUGGGGGCAAUUUAGUUAUUUUUUCACAGCGUACAUCUCUGUGAACAUUUCUCUUUUUUUAAGGGGAUAAACGGUAGGUUUUUGAAUAAUAGGAUGGAAAAGUCAAAGAAAAUAGAUAUUGAUAUGAGGAUUUUCUAUAAUUUAUCCAAAAUAUAUAUAUAAUUUGAGUAGGUCUUGUGUGCUUUUAGGAGCACGGAGGUCUCCGUGCUCCUAAGCCGUUUUCGAUGAUAGAGCUUCCGAAUCGACGAUCGGCUCCGUUAGACUUGAUAUAGCGUAUUUGAACUAUCUAGAAAAUAAUUUUUGUAAUUUCUCGGUAUCAUUUUCCUAGCGAUCGAAAGGGUUCAAAAUCAACAAUUUUUAAUGGUUGAUGUAUACCGUUUGCAAGUUUAACGAUGUAGAAGUAUUUAAAUCAGAUAAAAUUUUGAUAGAAAAUUCUUAAUACUAUUUACGGUAAGAUCAAUAUCUUUAAUCGAAAAUUUUAAUGCUAUAUCACAAUUUUUUGUGAGAUUUUUAUUUUCAGCCGUUGAUUUUGAACACUUUCCAUCGUUAGGUAAAUGAUAUCUAAAAAUCGCAAAAUUUUUUUUUCUGGAUACUUCAAAUACGCUAGAUCAAGUAUAAUGGAGCUUAUCGUCGAUUCAGAAGCUUUAUCAUCGAAAACGGCUUAGGUGCACGGAGGCCUCCGUGCUCCUAAUAGCACACAAGACCUACUCUAUAUAAUUUUGAAGAAAAGAACUAAUCUUUUAGCACUGCAAAUCUAUAUACGUUUAAUAUUAGUAUCUAUCAAGAAUUUAAGCUUAACUUUAAAAUAUUUAGCAAACUAAAAUAAGCAUAAAAGCUUGAAAAUGUAUAAUCUAUUAACAACCUAAUCAUUCUUUUAACGUACUUUUUAAAGAUUUGGAUUUAUAACCCCCGCUUUUCGACCCCUUCUAGCGGCCACUUUAGCUAUGUUGCUAAAGCGACUACUAUAAACCCGAAAUGUUAUAUACCGCUUUAUAUAACACUGCUUAUGGCCGCUAAUUAAAACACUACUUUAAAUGAAAUUAAUUAAAUAUAUAUUAGUUGAAAUUAGUAGACCUAUAUAUUCAGCUCGUUUUAACACAAAAAUAAAAAAUAUAUAAAAACAAUUAAAAAUAAUUUAAUAAAAAUUUUAUUUUAUAUCUUUUUCUACUAUUUGUUGGUACCUCUUAGAAACUGUUUGUUUUAUGUGAUUGAAUCUGCACUACAAUCAUAAUUAUAUACAAAUCUAAAUUCGAUGUUUGGUUUUGUUACAUUUGAAUCUAGCUAUUCUAAUUGGAACUGUACGAAAAAGUUUAAUUGCAGCAGUUAAAAUUACGUCUAAAUAGACUGCAUUUUCAACUACAGCAAUGAGAAUUAGUAGAGUAAAUAAAAGAUAAUUUUACCUUCCUAAUCACUUUUUAAAUAAAAAAAUUUUUCUUCUCUACUACUUACCUACGUUGAGAAUCACUUACCUACGUUGGGAAUCACUCACCUACGUUGAGAUUAGUUUCCCAUACUGAGAAUUUCACUUUCCUACACUGAAAAUCACUUUCUUAUACUAUACUUUUCUGUGUAGAAAUAUCACACAGAGAAGCAUGUAUACGGGCAACCUUAGUUACCAAUAUAAGUAACUUGAACUAAGUAUAUUGAUAAACCAUCAAUACUAGUUUACUUUUCAGUGUUAGCUUUCCAGUGAAGUGCUUUGUGGGAAAGCACUUAUCAAUGAAGUACUUCGUGGGCAAGCACCGGAUAUAUUCAGGUAUCGUAACCAACGUCUUCCUCUGUCUGUCUUUUGUCAACUUCUCAACUUCAGAAGUAAGUAUUAUUAAGGUAAGAACAAAAUAUAAGAUAAAGAAAACUGUUGAAUUAGCUCACUCACGAGUUUCCGAGCUGAAGCACACACGUUUGCGUCAACUCCAAAUGCGAAGUAACAUAGGACCCUCCAACAAGCAACUAGGCCACGUGUGGUUUAACAAUCUUGCCACCCCUGCCUAAUUCGGAAUUCCUUUCACCGUAACGAUGUGCGGAACUUCGGAAAAAUUAGAAAGAUAAAGUAUGGAAAUAGUGUUAGACAAGGUUGUUAGAAUUCCGAAUUUUGGCUUUUACAGCUGACGAUGAGAUGCUCUCUACCGUUGUUUGAAAUACUCUGAUCUUUCUAAACUACCGUACCUGAAGUCUGCGACCGUCUUCUUUAAUAAAAAGGAAGACAGCUGAGAGUUUCAACGAAUACAGGAGUGAUGAGGUUCUGGUCUUCUUUUGCUACUACUUGGACAACGUGUUUGAGCAUGUUCUGUUUUUACCCUACUUCUACUGUUAUAUACGGCUCCGUUAUAAGAUUUACGAUACAGCCUACGCGAAAAGCUGCAGAUAGUUUUACACUUUUGCCGAUUUCUUGACACCCUUCCGGAACUUCUUUUUAUGUUUAGGCUCCUACGGUGUUCAUUCUUCAAAGAACAAUCGUUUAAAUUAUUGAUAUUUUACCAACUAUCAUCUAGACAAGAUCUAGUUAAUGUACUUUAAGUUGUAUAAGAGUUAGUUAAAUGAGUUGUAUUAUACUUAUACCUACUUAGAUAUUAACACCGGAGAUAUUAGCUAUUUGAAGGAGGUAGUACCUUUCUGAAAUUCUUUUCAGAAUUUGUAUCUUUCCUUCUCUAAUGAGAAUUUCUAAACCGAUUGGUAGAAGCGUAUCUUCUUCUUAUAGCAAACGUUCUAUCGUUUUUCCUCGUUCUACGAGUCUCACGGUUUCACAUACACUGCCUUCUACUCAUAUCAUUUUGGGCAGUUGGGUGUUUUCUUUUAGCUUUCUCUCGAUUCGUAGGCUAGUUGGUGUUGUACUGUUUAUUCUUUUUCUUUCCACGUACGAAAGUAACACCAUUUGGUCCGGUGAUGUUCUUUCUUACAGCCAAGGAGUUUUUCCUUUCACGUGGCCUAAGGUUUUCUUUAAAACACCGAUACUAUAGGCUCCGAUUAUAUGAGCUUCUACUGCCUCGAACCACCUAACUAAGCCCAAGGUGUUCCGUACACACGUUCCUAUUUUCAAAUAAGUUUUGAAUACUACGUAACCUCCUACCUUUGCAAGAGAUAUACCCGUUAAGAAGUUGUCGUGUUUAGUUUCCUUUGCCGUUCCACCUUGAGCUCAAGUGUAGUCCUUUUUGAGAGUGAGAGUGGCUACACAUAGUACAUGGACUUCAAUCCUUCUUAGAAUAAAGUCCUUCAGAAGAAUUGUUUAAACCCAAGUUUGAACAUAAACUCCGGCUGUUUAAAUAAAACAGCUUCCCACCUUAGAAACACCCUUUUCCUAUAAACAUACUCCCGUACAAGUUUGAGUUAGAAUAAUUAUUUUAUUUAUAAAGUCGGAUAUAAUAACUGAGAAGAAGAAAUACCGUAUUAGCAAAUCCUGUACAAUUAAUAUCUUUUAAUGUUCUAUACCGAUUCAAUCUCAAUUAAGGAUUAAAACUAUUAUUUAAUCUUUUUACAUUAUGAACGUACGAGUGAUUUUAAUGAUCUUUCAGAAAAGGAUUUUAACUAUCUACAAGAUUAGAUGAACUCAACCAUGUAUCACUACAAACACUGAACGUACGAAGAGGAAGAUAACCACCUUUCUUUAUAAAACAAUGUAAAUAACUACUAAAAAGAUCUAUAUCAAUACAAAUAGAAAACGUAAGAUUUUUACUUCGCGAUCUAUUUAAAUCUUAUAUAUUUAGACUUCAACUCCACUUUACACUCUUUUACCAGUUUACGGAUUCUUGUCUGUCUUCUCCUCUUAUAAUACUAGGAAGUAAAAAACUCAGGUAACCAUAAUAUGUACUUUGGAGACGUGGAAUAUGAGGUGUUGUUUUGCCUCAACGUCUUUCUUUUUUAUCUUGUAAUUACCUUUACCAGUUACGAUACGAAAGAUUGAGACCCAAUUCAAUACCUAAAACCCCGCUUCGAAAUAAUUGUCGAACGGUAGAUGAUUUAUCUUAGGGUUGUUUUUUCUUACUAUUUUGAGGAAUACUUAAUAAGUUCCCUUCUUUCGGGUUAAAUUUAAUAAAUUUUCAAACCCCAACAUCUCGAUAACACUCCCAAGGUCUUGGCUUUUCUUUCUUUGACCCACUUUCUCCUUAACUCACGUAUAAAUAACCCAUACGUGUUGUAUCAUUUCGUAUGUCUAAAAUGCACUAACUUAGAUUACUGAAGUAACUCUAGUUGUGUCAAAAACUUAGAUUUCUACGAUAUAAACUACUUUUGUCUAAACAUAGUUAAGGAUCUGGGUUUCUUGAAUAACACUCAUUUCUUGUGAGGUUACUCUUUUUACUACAACGUUAACUUUGGGGUCUUGAAUCUUCCUCAUUUUCUCAAUCUUAACGAUUUUGUAAACCUGGUCUAAAAAUAUGAAAAGAACAACUCCCAUCAUCUCUUUACUAAUGUCUUUCAAAGGUUAAAACAAAUUUGUAACUGAGUCUGGGGUGUUGUAAACUCCUCCGUUACUUUAGAGGACUACAGCGAAAAACCUUUCUUCGCUAUUUACUACUUUACCUGAGUUAAUACUGUUUGGUUUGUACCUUUAAUCAACUAGAAGGAGGACCUACAUUUGGAUAACCCACAUUUACCUAAAAGUUUUUCUUUUAGUUACAUUUACCGUGGUAUCUAUUUAAGUUCCGUUCUGAACAACGGUUUCCCAAAUGUGUUUUUCUUCCAUAACUAAUAAAACUAUGGAUACGUGGACAACGGUCUAAUCGCUGAUAAUCUUGAAACUAACGAGAACGAAGUUACAUAUUAAACUAAUAAGUAGUUUACCUACAGUUUUGUCGUAAGAAUUUACCUCUUAAUCUACUUCUUCAAAUAUACCUUGUCGGGCUCCCGAAACAACAAGGACCUGUUCUCGUGUUUCACACAUUUGAAUAGUUCAGCAACAUACCCGAAUUUGUUCGUGGAUUUGUUACCGUAGUUUUCAAACUAGUCUAACAAGAAAGGUUACCAAUAUUUUAAUUAGUUAGACUAUUUACACAAAUAUCAUUUAAAAGUUUACCAUUUCCACAAUAAUAUACAGAUAUACAACUACUGUACAAUUAAAAACCGUGGCUACAAGUCGUUCAUCUUUUAUGAUUUUUAAAAAAUAGAACGUUAAAACUAUACUUUCUAUACCCCCUCCGACUAUAAUAAAACCCUUAAUUUUAAUAAGCACUUUUAUUACCUAAUAAAAAUUGUGUCAGAGUAAUAUAGCUUUUCUAAGAAUCUUUUAAACCAAUUAAACUAACAUGAGGUCAUAGUUGAGAAAAACUAGGAUUAGAUUUUGAUCAAGCAUUAUGACCAUCUAGUUAAUUAGUCAAUCUUAUAAGAUUCUAAUAACCUUCAAACUACAUACGGUACAGAACAUGAUCCGGACUAUAACGUAAACGACAACCAUUUAAUUCAUCUAAAUGAUCGUUAGGUCCAUUACAUGUAACCGUACGAUAAAUGUCUUAAAACUUUAUAAACUUUUUCUGUUACCUGAUACCUUAAAAGAUAUCACCUAUAGGUUGUCAUAACCUUCCGAUAUGUCUACGGUCAACCUAUUGUCUAGUUCUUCUAGUACGUAGGUGUUCACCCACCUAUAAAUAUAAUCCACCUCCACGCUAAAGAACCCCAAGAUUCUUUGUCUGUACAUAUCGCCUGAGAUGGUACCGUCGUCUUAAAUAUCGUGAUCGCAGACGAUCAUUCCUCCGCCUUACCUAUUCCUUAAAUAAUAUACUUUAAGGUCAAACCGGUUUUGGUUACGGCGGCCAUAGCGAUGUAACGCUAUCACUUCGAUGCGAGAGUUCUCGUAUAUCAGUUUGUAUGUUACCCUUCAGUUCUGUAUAACCUAAUUCUGUAUCGAUACAUUUUGUUGACUAUAGUCUACCGUAUUAAUGGUAACUAAAACAUUCUAGUUUGGUUUUAGAACGCCUAGGCAACUGAUUCCCUGAAGGUUCUCUUAACUAUAAGUCCUGUAGCUACCCCUACCCAGAGUUCGGGUAUAAUGUUUCAGUGGUUACUACCUUUGAGCUGAAUUGUGAACUUUGUAGUAGUUCAGAAUUCAAGUUACUCGGUUUCAUGUAGUAUACCUCACUAACGUUCGUGAUAUUAUAUUUUAAAGGUAGGGUUCAUUUCACGAACCAUAGGCAUAACUUUUCCCUUCCAACUUGAUUAUUUCAAGAAUUAUCUGGAUGUCAUCAUAAAUGACUUCACAAUUUAUGCCCUGUGAAGACCAUCUCAGAUGGAUAUACUUACACUUCACACCGGCGAAGAUCCUCAAUUCCCGAACUGAGAUUGUCGUAAGUACUUUGUCCUACGCCUGUGUUCCGGUAUUUUCACAGUCGUUAUUUUAUCUCGUGAGCUGACUAAUAUUUAAAGAUACACACUCUAUACAGGCCAAUUAGCUUUUAUUAACAACCAAGUUUCGAACAGAUAGUAAGUUAAUACUGAUUGAAACUACACAAAAGUGAUUCACAUCCAAGUUCAAAAUUAUGUGGAUGUGGAUACGUAUGCCAAAACAGUUCAACAGUUCUUAAAACUAAAACUAAAAACUAAAACAAAAUAAAACGAAAAACUACAUAAAAAUACAUAAAAUUUUAAACCACCCUUUAACAUUCCUUUUAAAAUUUUAUUAUAUAAAACAAAUAACAAAAAUCACUUACCUACACUAAGAAGCACUUUCCUACGUUAGGAAUCACUUACCUACGUUGAGAAUCACUUACCUACGUUGGGAAUCACUCACCUACGUUGAGAUUAGUUUCCCAUACUGAGAAUUUCACUUUCCUACACUGAAAAUCACUUUCUUAUACUAUACUUUUCUGUGUAGAAAUAUCACACAGAGAAGCAUGUAUACGGGCAACCUUAGUUACCAAUAUAAGUAACUUGAACUAAGUAUAUUGAUAAACCAUCAAUACUAGUUUACUUUUCAGUGUUAGCUUUCCAGUGAAGUGCUUUGUGGGAAAGCACUUAUCAAUGAAGUACUUCGUGGGCAAGCACCGGAUAUAUUCAGGUAUCGUAACCAACGUCUUCCUCUGUCUGUCUUUUGUCAACUUCUCAACUUCAGAAGUAAGUAUUAUUAAGGUAAGAACAAAAUAUAAGAUAAAGAAAACUGUUGAAUUAGCUCACUCACGAGUUUCCGAGCUGAAGCACACACGUUUGCGUCAACUCCAAAUGCGAAGUAACAUAGGACCCUCCAACAAGCAACUGGGCCACGUGUGGUUUAACAAUCUUGCCACCCCUGCCUAAUUCGGAAUUCCUUUCACCGUAACGAUGUGCGGAACUUCGGAAAAAUUAUAAAGAUAAAGUAUGGAAAUAGUGUUAGACAAGGUUGUAAAAAAUAAUAUUUAUAAUAAUUUAAUAAAAAAAAGAGUGGCUAUGGAUAUAAUAAUAAUUGUUUAUGUAUUAAAUUUGUUUAGAAUAUUAAAGCAACUCGGUAGACCAACCUACAUAAAUUUUUAUAUCAUAUUUUCUAUUCAUAUAAACUACUACAUCAUCAGUAUUGAUCCCCACCGUUAGGUCGAGCGACAAGCGCUCGGUCGAGCACAAACCGAGCUUUACUCGAGCUCUAGCCGAACGAGCAAAUCAUUUGCUCGGCUUGUACUCGACUUAAAAAGUCGAACAAAUUAUUUGCUCGGCUUGUGCUCGACCCUAGUCGAGCGGGCACAAGCCAAGUUAUUGUCGAGCUUAUGUAUAUAAAAUAUAAAUAUAUUAAAUAAAUUAAAUAUAAAAAUAUAUAUUUAUUUAUUAAUAUAUAUUAUAUAUAAAAAUAAUAAAUUAAAUGGUUUUAUUUUUAUAUUUACGCUCCAAUUAAUAUUUUUUUGAGUAAUUAUACAUUUCAAAGUUGAUAAUCUAGUUUCAGAUUAUUUAUUCUAAAAUAUUUAAAUAAAAAAUAUAUAUAAAUUAGAUUAGGAAAAAUUAAAUAACAAACAACCGGUCGAGCACUCGGUUGAGCACAAGCCGAGCAAUUAUUUGCUCGGCUUGUGUUCGACUUAAAAAGCCGAGCUAUGAAAUUGCUCGGUCCAGCAUAAGCCGAGCAAAUUAUUUGCUCGGUUUGUGCUUGGCUGGGGUCGAGCGAGCACAAGCCGAGCAAAUGUGGGGAUCAGUAUUGAUAUAUGGUGCAAACCAACCUUUGUUAUUUUAAUAAUGUUGAUAUCUAUUAAAUAAAUCAACGUAUAGUAAUUCUCACAUAAAUAUUUUAAAAUAGUGAAAAAUAUACACUACCACUCUAACGAAGAUUUUUCGUGAUAGUUACUUCAUGAAGCACCCGUUCCGUGGCUAUAUAAGUCCUAUAGCAUUGGUUGUCAGAAGGAGAGACAGAAAACAGUUGAAGAGUUGAAGUCUCAGUUCUAAUAUUCCAUUCUUGUUUUUAUUCUUUUUCUGUUUGCACAACUUAAUCGAGUGGACUCAGGUCAAAGGCUCGAAUCCUGUUGUGUGCACGCAGUUGAGCGUUUACGCUUCUUUGAUGCCUGGGACGGUUGUUCGUUGAUCGGUGCACACCAAUUGUCUUGAACCGGUGGGACGGAUUAAGCUUAAGGAAAGUGAGAUUGCUAACACGCCUUGAAGACUUUUUAAAUCUUCUAUUUCAUAGCUUUAUCCAAUCUUGUUCCAACAUAUUCUUUAAGGCUUAGAAACCGAAAAAGUCGACUGUAUGCUCUACGAGAGAUGGCAAACAAACUUUUAUGAGACUAGAAGAUUUGUCGGCGAUGGACUAGAUGAGGCGAAGAAAAUUAAUUUUGUCCCUUCUGUCGACUACUCAAAGUUGCUCUAUGUCCUCAUCUACUGCCAAGACCAGAAGAAACGAUUGAUGAACCUGUUGCACAAACUCGGUACAAGACAACAAAUGAGAUGAAAUAUAUGCCGAUGGCAAUAUUCAUAAAUGUAUGUCGGAUGCGCGAUUUUUCGACGCUAUCAAAAUGUGAAAACGGCCCUAAAGAACUGUGGGAAGGCCUUGAAAAAAAUACAAAUCGAGAUGCCACAAGUAAGGAAAGUUUGCUUGUUAGCAAAUUUAAUAACUAGUAAGAUGGUUGAUGUAAGAUCUGCUUCUAGAUCAAUUAAAUGGAAUUCAACAUUAUCUCAACCAAUGAUUACUCCAACAUAAUGAUGAAUAUUGGAUGAUUCUAUAAUGUGCCUCUAUAAUCGAUAAACUUCACUUCCAUCAUGGACAAGACUUAAGAAAAGCUCUAACUAGAACAAAGGAAGACGUUACUCUUAAAAUUUUGGCUAAACCAUCUUCGCAUAGAAAGAAGAAUUAUCGUUCUGCAAGAUUAGCAAAGAGGGCAACCCAACCGAUGCUCAGAAGUGCAAGUGUAAAUGUGACGGAAGAUGAGCUAUAGUAAACCGUCAAAACCACAGAAGAAAAAUCAUCUCUCUUCUNNNNNNNNNNNNNNNNNNNNNNNNNGGUGUUUCGUGAAGUGACCUUUCGAUUGUGACUUUUCAUUUGAUCAUAACUACCAAAUAGUUAUAUGAAUCAAGUUCAAUGAAUAUAACCAUUGAUUCCAACGGGCAUAUGUACGAAGAGACACACUAUAAAGAUGUGUCUUUUCAUAUCAUAUUCUUUCACUAAAAGUCACAUCCUUUCACUUUAAGAGUCAUACCCUUUGAUUAGAGUUGCAUCCACUCACUAAGGGUUGCAUCCAUUCACUAAGAGUUGCAUCCAUUCAUUAAGGAUUGCAUCCUUUCACGAAGAAUCACAUCCAUUCACUAAAAACAAUAAACAAAAUAUAUUAUUUUAAAAUUUUCCUUACAAAAAAAACACAGAUAGAAAACAAAUUAUAUAUAAUUUAAGACAUUAAUUAAAUAUAAAAAUAUUUUUGAAAUAAUAGUAUUAAUGUUAGACAUAUGUAACAAAUAAUAAUAAUAAUAAUAAUAAUAAGUAUAACAUUAUAGUGUAGGUAAUUUGGGUCCCACAUUAUGUAUUUUAGUAAUAAAAAUAAUUUAUUUGGCUCUGAAUUUUCCAGCUAGACCAGUUGGGGUCGUCUCGAGAACUGAAAUGACACAUUUGUCCUUUACUCCAACCACUCUGAAUACAAAGUUUCAGAUCCCCCACGUGAAUAUCGUACGACAAUGUGUCCUCCCACCUUCUUUAUCCGACACGUGUACAUCAGCCGAUACACGCCGUCGCUCCCUAUUCCCUCUCCCCAAAAACCCUAGCAAAACCCUAGCUAAACCCUCCUCCCUCUUCCCCCCCUCCGCCGCCGCCACAAUGCAAACCCUAGCCCCCUUCUCCUCCCACACCUCCGGCGCCGUCGCUCUCCGCCGUGUCCCGCCCCUCCGCGCCGCCGCCGCCGCCGCCGCCGCCGCCGAUGCUCCUACGCCGCCCGCCACCACGCAAGCGAUUCCCCCGGCGCCGCCGCGGAAGAUCAACCUCUACAGCUCCCGCAUCACGGAGCCCAAGUCCCAGGGCGGGUCCCAGGCCAUCCUCUACGGCGUGGGGCUCUCCGAAGCCGACAUGGCGAAGCCCCAGGUGGGGAUCUCCUCCGUGUGGUACGAGGGCAACACGUGCAACAUGCACCUCCUCCGCCUCGCCGAGGCCGUGCGCGAGGGCGUGCGCGACGCGGGGAUGGUGGGGUUUCGAUUCAACACCAUCGGGGUGAGCGACGCGAUCUCCAUGGGCACGAGGGGCAUGUGCUAUAGCCUCCAAUCGAGGGACCUCAUAGCGGAUAGUAUCGAGACCGUAAUGGCCGCGCAGUGGUACGACGCAAACAUUUCCAUCCCCGGAUGUGAUAAAAAUGUGAGCUUUUUUUGUCUCCUUAUUAGCCAUUUCUUCUUUAUUUUGUGGCUUUUCUCAUUAGCUCUGUGCAAAAUGUUAGCUUAAUGAGCACCUUAGCUGUUCCGUUUGCGCAAUUUAAGGGGAAAAAAAAUGUUAAAUUACAUGAAACAACCAUUUUUAUCUAAAAGCUUAAGUUACAAAGAGAGCGGUAUUUUCAAUAAAUUUAUUUAUUCAACAUGAUACCAUGUUAAAAUGUAUUACAAAAAGAGGGAGAGUGUUGAAUAUAAAUAUUGAAAACACCGUUCUUUGAUAGCUUAAGCUUUAGAGAAAAAUGGUUGUUUCAUGUAAUUUAACAAAAAAUAUGUAAUUUUUGCUCUUCUUUUGCAUUCGAUGAUUCUUGGUCUUUAACUACUGUGUUUCUGACUUUCUGCUUAUAAUGUUGUUGGAAAAGUGCUAUCUUGGAUGGAGAGUUUCUUGCUUCUUGCGGCAUUAAGAGUUGCUGCAAUAUAGUGGAAGCAUCACUUUGUUCUCUUUAUCAUCCUAUCUCUUUAUUUUUGGCGUGCUUAGCUCAUUGCGUCUUACCUUGUAGAUGCCAGGUACAAUCAUGGCAAUGGGGCGACUUAAUAGACCAAGUAUCAUGGUUUAUGGUGGAACUAUCAAGGUGAUAACCAUUCUUAGAUACAUUUUUUUUCCUCUAAUUUUUCCUCGUUUUGUUCUAGUAGAUUCCAGAAGAUACACUUGCUCCCUAUGUACUGCUAUUUCAGUGUUUCAUGUCAGUUUUAGCUUCUUUUUGGUAUUUAAAUUUUCCAGCAUAAUUGGGCAAAAUUCUAACCAAGCGUGUCUUUUCUCCAUUUUUCCUCCUCUAAAUUGUUACGCUAUGUGAUAUCAUUUGCUAUCUCACAGAUCUUAUUUUACUAUGUUACUCUCUUGUGUAAGAGUCGACUUUCUUUGUUCCUUUUUUAUGUGUGUGUGUGUUCUCACCAGAAGACUUAGCGUGAUACCCUAUGUAAUUCUAUAUAAGAGUGUUCUUUUACUCUUUUACCGGUACAUUGGCAAAUUAUUUUUCCAAUUUUCUUUUACCAAUGUAGGUGACUAAUGUUAGAAUGCCUAAGAUUCAUGCUUAGAUCGUCCCUUUGAAUAUUUCUGAUUUUCACUUGAUUUAGGAUAAUGAACAAGAUGCAUGCUAUAUGCAGUUUUUUUCUAGUUCUUGUUGAAUGAGUGGAACUUAUAUCUAAAUAUAAUAAUUCCUUUGGAGAAUGUAAUACUAACUUAUGCAUAAUUUUUCUUUGUGCAGCCAGGUCACUUUCAGGGCAAUGCUUAUGAUAUCGUAUCUGCUUUUCAGGUAUACAUAGAGCUCGUUGUCUCGAUUUUGUUACAGAGAGCUAAAAUUCUUUUGCCAUUAGGAGUUACCAAGAUAUAUUAUUAUUUGAUCUUUGUGAGUUUCUACUUUGUUUUCUGAAUUCAGAUAUGUUUUUUGUAUUCAUUUUCGCAUCCAAGUUAUCAAGUUCCAUCCAUGUAAACUUGUGCAUUUCCCACGUUUUCACUCCAGUCUGGUUUGAAGAAUGUUUCUUUGUGUACCACUAUUGUACUGUUCCAGAAGUGAUUCUUGCCAACUAAAAAUUUAGGACCUGAAAUCCCUUUGGAAUAAAAAAAUUUCCUCUCAGUCGUGGGAAAAGAAAAAGUCUAAAUAACAAUCUGUUUUUCAUAUAUUAAUGCUAACGAACUGUUCUGUCAACUUGACGUAAUAGGCUAUAGACUAAAGAUCCUUUCAAUACUGCUCUGUUGGUUCUCUAUUUAGUGUUACGGCGAGUAUGUCAGUGGCGCAAUCAAUGAUGAUGAAAGAAUGAAUGUGGUGCGCAAUUCAUGCCCUGGAGCAGGAGCUUGUGGUGGCAUGUACACAGCAAACACCAUGGCAUCUGCUAUUGAGACUAUGGGCAUGACACUUCCUUACAGGUAUGUAUAUGCCAUUUCGUUCUCAGGAUAUUAUUUUUUCCAUAUACACCUCUUUAAGAUGCAGCAUCUUGCAAAAUUGCCCUUUAAGUUGUCGAGUCAUCCAAUUCAUUUGGGGAGUUUGGCUUUAACUGAGAAAAGUUUCCAAAGAGGAACAUUUUCUUUAAAUGCAAGUGUAUAUAUGUAGGAACUUAGAAAUGAAAGAUGUAUUCAUGUACCCCUAUCUUAAGUUGUCUUUCUAUCAAGUAAAAAAAAAAUCAUGAACAGGGAGACUUUUGUAAGACAAAAGCAAUAAAUCAAGAUUUAAAGAAGGUAUAUAGAAAAUUAGAAAUCAAGGUUUUGCUGCGGUAUAUACAUAAACAGAUGAUUUUGUAUGCUGGUUCAUUUCUCUUCCUCCUGUUUUCCCCAUUCUCCCUUUUUGUUCAUGUCUUUUCCUGAAAUUUUAUGUAUGUCAAAGCUCUUCUAUACCAGCUGAAGAUCCACUAAAGUUAGAGGAGUGCCGUAUGGCCGGGAAGUGCAUCUUGGAACUGUUAAAAAUGGAUCUGAAGCCUCAAGACAUUAUUACGGAGAAAUCGCUACGCAAUGCAAUGGUCGUUGUAAUGGCCCUAGGUGGGUCUACUAAUGCUGUUCUGCAUUUGAUUGCUAUAGCUAGGUGGGUAAGCUGCUUAUCAUCUAUGGCAAGCGUGUUUGUUUGGCCUUCUUUUAAUAGCUCACUUUCUUGUAGGUCUGUCGGCCUCCAGCUGACCCUUGAUGAUUUUCAGAAGGUUAGCGAUAAGGUUCCUUUCCUUGCGGAUCUGAAGCCUAGUGGGAAAUAUGUUAUGGAAGAUUUACACAAGGUAUGCUUUUUACACUCUUUUUAACUUUUUUGGGGGGCUUUUACAUACAUAUCCCUGCAAAAUCAACUAUUUACAGAUAUGCCCGCCCUCAAGAAUCUCAAUUUCAUAUGUAAUCGUUGGAAUUGCAGUUUCCUACGAAAUUGCUCAUUAAGUUGGGGAGUUAUCCAAUUCAUGGGGAAAGUUGGCUUCUAUCAGGGAAGGUUUUUUUGUAGAGUUUGAGUACUAGGGCAUUUGUGUGGCACAUUAAGCUUUUGGAGGGCAUAAAGUAAAGUUUUAGAUAAUACGUACAUACAUACACAGACACGCGCACAUUUUACUGUAUUUGAGGAACAUUCUAAUUAUCCCCUCGAUGUUAAUACGCAUAGGUUGGGGGAACUCCUGCAGUUAUUCGAUACCUUCUUGAAGAAGGCUUUCUGGAUGGCGAUUGUAUGACUGGUAUGUGCUGUAAUAUUAUUAUUUUUUACAAAUAUUUGACUAUCCUUCUUUUGUUUCUGGAAUAACUCACAUUCUCUUAUUCCAGUCACCGGGAAAACUCUUGAAGAAAAUGCGAAACUCUUCCCUCCUUUAGCUGAGGGACAGGUAUAACCCAAAGCUAAUAUAUUGCAUACAGUUUCUGACCUUCCCUUUCUGACUGUUAUUCUGAGCUUUUAAUCAUAUCCUUAUGCAGCAAAUAAUACGACCGUUGAAUAAUCCUAUCAAAUCAACGGGACAUAUACAGAUACUCUAUGGGAAUCUUGCUCCUGAGGGUUCUGUGGCGAAAAUCACUGGCAAAGAGGGUUUAUUUUUCUCUGGUACCAACUUUUUUUUUUUUUAAUUUUUACUUGCUAGUUAUUAUGUUUGUUACGAUUUUUGAAAAUUUUGACGUCAUUGUAACAAACAUGAAGAGAUCGUGCAACAGGUCCAGCACUUGUUUUCGAGGGUGAGGAAUCAAUGAUUGAAGCACUUUCAGAAGAUCCUGAGAGAUUUAGGGUAAAAUUUCAUGCAAUUGUUCUGUUUCUUUUUCUUAUAAGAACAUUUCAAUCUUUAAGACUUUAAGGUGUCUUCAAUAAAGGAGCCUAAGUAUUCUUGCUGUCUCUGAUUAUGGAUAAUAAACAUUUCAUCUUUUCUUCUGUCUCGUCAAUUAUUUUCAAGUAGUCUCAAUGCCAUGUGUUACCUUUACUUCCUUUUAGUCAUGAUGUGUUUAUCAACAAGCAUUUCUAAUUACCUCCAACUAAAUGGUCCCUAAGAGUUCUUAAACUAAUACCAUGUUUAUGGUACUCUUGAAGGAUCAAUGCGUAAUUUAUGAUGAGAUUCUACUAUUUUCAUGCGGCAUAUAAUAUUUCAGGGGAAGGUGGUUGUUAUUAGAGGAGAGGGACCAAAGGGUGGCCCUGGAAUGCCUGAGAUGCUGACACCUACGAGUGCAAUAAUGGGUGCUGGACUCGGGAAGGUAUCUUUGUGCUCAAUCCUAAUAAAUUUCUUGUCGACUCUAUUAUUUUGAAUUUAAGGCUGAAUUGUAGGGGAGCAAAGCAACUAAGUACUUCUGCAUCUUUUUAUGCUGAAUAGUUUAUGCCUCACAUUUAAACUUUCCAUCUUGCACCUGUAUGUGAGAAACAUGCCUUGUUUUCUCAGAACCAUGAGCCACCUUUAACUUUGUUUCUGGUCAUAUGUCGUGAAUUUCUGGUGAUAUGCUGUAGCCAAUUUCAUUUUUCAUUGGAUAAUUACAGAUACUACAUUAUCCAUGUGAUACAUCUGUUGGCGCAGAGUUUUUGAGGCUUUUGUCUUUUUAAAAUGUUUAAAAUUAAUGAGUUCCUUGACACAAUUUUCUCUCUUAUAUCUUGUUUCUGUUAGUAGCCUUAUUAUCAUGCAGUACUUUCCUCGAUUGUUUUCUCUUGCUAACUAGUGUGAAACACCAUUUUAGGAGUGCGCCCUGCUCACUGAUGGUAGGUUCUCCGGAGGAUCGCAUGGAUAUGUUGUAGGCCAUAUAUGCCCCGAAGCGCAGGUGUGCCCCUCUUUACAAUUUUUAUUUUUUGCAUCUUAUCAUAAUCUCUACUUUUCAUCAUCUCGAGUUAGGAAAAUUACAGAGAAUAGAAAACAUUCUCAAUAAGGACUUCUGUAGAAGUAAAACAACUUGAGGGAUUUCCGUUAAAGUUCGUCAAGUGAAAAUUGAUACUCAUAAUAAGAUCACAUUUUCAGGAAGGUGGCCCGAUUGGUCUUAUUGAAGAUGGCGACAUAAUCACCGUCGACAUCCUAAAGAAAAGAAUGGAUGUCGAUCUGACAGAACAGCAGUUGGAAGAGAGGAGGAAGAAAUGGACUCCGCCGCCUUACAAGGCCACAAAAGGAGUCCUCUAUAAGGUAUUUUGUAGCUUGAACUAAGCAUCUCACAUUAUGAAUUUCUCUCAUUUCUAAAAGAUCUUGCCCUUUUUUUUUACAGUACAUCAAGAAUGUGCAGUCUGCGUCAAGAGGAUGUGUAACAGACGAAUAAGGAGAGAUAUCACAUCAGUUUAUGAUGAUAAUAAGGUCGCUCUUUUCGGCAUUUCUAUUUAUCCUCGACCGAAGAGGAGAAUUCCUAGGAGCAAAAAAAUUUUCUUCCUGAAGAGUGUCUUAAGACUGUAGAGCUCAUUGAACUGCUAGGGAUUUUGCAGGAUUGUUGCUUUGUAAAAGAUUCAGGAACUGCACUGUUAACUUAUUUAUGGAUUUAUUUAGUGUGAAAAUUUUGAACAGCAUAAAUGUUUGAUUCAAUUUAAUUUGAUAUCAGAAUUUGGGCUCAAAUUCUUAUGAAAUUAAUAACCACGCAACAACGGACUAUAGGUAGAUGUGAGACCUGGAUAGUCCUAUGUAUAAGGUAUAAGAGCUAAAGUUUUUAUUUCGGUGGCCAAGUCCAAGAGUUUAAAAGAGUUAAGCGUGAUAGAGCUAAAGUUGUUUUAGGAUGGGUGACUCUCUGCAAAGUGGGGUAUUACAGUUGGUAUUAAAGUCAAUUAUCAGCCGGAAGUGUGAGAUGAGUUUCGACUGAGUCGGGGUUAUACAGUAGGAAAAGUGAGGUUCUCAUACUGAUGAUUAUUGUGGGUAGAGUGUGGCUCUCCCACAAUAAUGUUGAUUAAGGUUAACGAAACAAAUUUCACAUCGCCUGAUACUUGUGAGUCUGAAUCUGACGAGAACGUCAAGGUUUGAAGAGGAGAUUGUGAGAUUCCAAAUAAUCUUAUAUAAAAUACAAUAAGACUAAAACUUUUAAUUCGACUAUAGUAAUUUAGGCGGUGGUUAUGCCUAAAAGGUUAAGAGAGUUAAAUAUGCAAUAACUAAAAUAGUUCUAGAAUGGAUGAUCUUCUAGAAAGUGGGGCGUCACAAGUAGAUAUGCUUUUUUGAGCAAAUAUUAGCUUUAUUUCGGCCGGCACUGAUUCUUAUUGAUUUAUUUCUGCCAGAUGUUGUAUUGCUGUUUUUGGAAUGGAUAGUUCUGAAAACUGAAACUGUGGAUGCCUGUUGAAAUAUUUUUGCUUAAAAGAAAAAAAAUCACUUUUGGGAGAAGCUACAGAAGGCCAAAUGCAGUUAAAGUAGAUGUUGGCUGAUUCUCUGGUGAGAUGUAUUAUUCCCUUUGGCAUCUAUUCAUACGUUUUGUGCGUUUGCGCAAAUAGAAGAUUUAUACUGAAUAAGAUGUUUAUGCAUUUAGUCAUGUAUGCAAAAUGAUUGGUUUUUUCAGUAAUAUUAAGCGAACGAAUGCCCUGAGAUAAUGCCUAUCUACAUGAAAUAAUUUUUUUUUUAAAAAAAAAAUAGAAGUUGAGGGCUGUGAAUUAAAAUGUAAUUAAUUGAGUGGGCUUUCUCGAAACGUCUCGUAAGCUUAGGGGUCUCGAUGCAAAUGUACCCGUAGUUUUAUGUGCUAAAAAGGAAUGGAGCGUAGCGUGGGCCCACGGAGGGGGACCACAAAAUAAUAGGAGCCAAAAUUUGAAAGCUCAGCAUAUGUUAUACCCUCGGAACAAUGUAUUAGUGAGAGAUCACGAUAAAGUAUACUGUUUCCAAAGCCCACGUGGCAUUCUCUCAUUGGUGUUUUAAACUGCUCCGCGGUACACUGGAACACCUUAAACUUUAAACCUCUCGGCCCCGCUAACGGCUAUAUUCCCCCUCCCCCUCUCUCCCUCUCACCAAAAACCCCUCUCUCUCUCUCUCUCUCUCUCUCUCUCUCUCUCUCUCUCUCUCUCCUCGUUCCCGAUUCUUCGAUUAGGGCAUGGAUUCUUCCUCAAUUUCCAGUUCGAGGCCUCGGUUUCAAUCGCGUCGCGGAGUUCGUGUGGUGGGAAAGAUCCGGCCUUUGCACGAUUCGGAGGUCGGAGAUCUCUCCCGUGGCGAUCCUUCUUGCUCCCCCAAUCGGCCUCAGGUCUCCGUCGCGAGAUGUGAGGGGGAACACGCCGUGAUCUCCUUUAAAGAUCAGCCCAGCGGGUUCGUUGUUCUUCGACAUUUUAUCAUAUGUGUGUUCGUUUCGAUUCAAUUAGGUUGAAGUUCUAAACUUGGAAACAAUUAGGGUUUUGAUCGUUUGGUUGGGGUUUUAAUUAAUUGGGAAUAGCCAUUGGUGUUAGGAUGAAAGGGUCGAAGAGGCGUGCGCUGCUCUCUUUUGUUCAAGUUGCGAAUUAGGGUUUUGAUCAUUUUAUUAAAGACUUCAAAUUAGGGCUUUUGUGUGUUGGUAAGUGUGCCAUUGGAGUUACCACGAAAAGGUCCGAGCAAGCAUGUCCCGAUUUUGUUUUUUCAAGUUGCAUGUAGGUUAGGGUUUUGAUCGUUUUAUAAAUUAUUUUUAGAUUAGGGCUUUCCUCUUUUCUUGAUUGUGUUUUUCAAAUCGGUUUCAGUCGGAAAGAUUCUUACAAGCUAGAUUGGUGCUAUGAGCCAGAAGAGGGUGUCGGCGAGAUUUUCUCAAGAGAGGUUAAGCCUCUGAUACAGGGGUUGUUUCAAGGAUCAAAUUCUUGUGUUAUUGCUUAUGGUGCUCGCGGAAGUGGGAAGACGCAAAUCCUUCAGGUGAAUUAUUGUCGUUGAUCAUCUUGGUACUCAAUUUUUGCAAGUUGAAUUCUUGUUAUAUCCUAUGUAAUAUUCUAAUGCAAUAGUGGGUGUACACAAAUUAAGAAGAUUGUAUUUCACAAAUUGGUAUUCAUGUUGGAUGUAAUCAAGAGCGUGCAUAUGAAAUUACAAAUUUGAAUUUGGAUUUCUUAUGCAUCAUUCAAUAGCCCUUGUUUGAAAAAUAUAGAGCAUUAAUUUUGGGACAGCUUGAUGACUAUAGUGUAAAAUACAAAAAAUCCAAGGAUGUUGUAUACAUGCCUUUCUGAUGUUUACUUGUUAAUUUUGGAGCCCAUAUGCUUGUAUUUGUGUGCACGCAUGCACACAUACGUGUGUUUGAUGCUUUCCGUUUGAAAUUUCUAUUAGGGCAUUUUUCUAGAUUCGUAUGUGAGACAAGAUCUGAUUUUCCGAAUUGUUUUUAAUAUUUAGAAACCAACUGACUGUUCUGAAUGGCCCUUUUCUGUACACUAAGUGGACAUAUGUUUCAAAUACAAUUAGUUUAUUGAACACAUAAUGUUAUAUGUGAAAACCAUAAACAAGAAAAUUUUAAGUGAUUUGCAUCAGUCUAAAUCAUUCAUAUAAGAAGCUACAUGUAUCAACCAAUAGCGACCUCAUUAAAUUUGAAGGCAACACUGCUCCAAUGCAUUUGAUUCUCGGAUUCUUGAUGUUCCAGAGAGUCUAAAUCAUAUUAACAGGAUGGAUCCUGCACAAAUUUGUCACAACAUUCAUUUGAAUUGAAAUUAUUUGAGUUCAAAGACUCUUCCCAGAGCUUCUAACGUGAUCCGUAGAGGCCAAAUAUAUAAUUCAGUGUAUGAUAUUGCAUUUAAUUUCCAAAACAUAGGGCUCUGAAGAGAAUCCUGGCUUAGCUCCAAUUACGUUAUAUGAGAUCCUAGCGAUGGCCAAGGAAAUUGAAGGGUUGGUAACUAUAUCAUGCUACGAAGUGUUUCAAGAUCAUAUCUAUGAUAUAUUGGAACCCAAAGAGCAAGAAGUGCUUGUUCUUGAAGAUGCCGGAAGGAGAAUUCAGCUUAAGGGACUUUCUCAAGUGAGAUGGAAAAUCCAUUUUAUAUUGUUGUUAUUCUAGAGGCGUAGUUGAUUACUGAAUAACUGUUUCUGAGAGAUUUAUUGAAAUAUGACUUUUUUAGGUUCCUGUGAAAUCCAUGUCUGAGUUCAAUAGUUUGUACUUUCAUGGAUGUAACCAAUGGAAGCAAUCACAAAAGAUUGGGAGUGAAGAUGCAAUUAGGUCCCAUCGAGGGUUAAUUAUAUACGUCUCUCGUGUUGUCAAAGAAUCGAACCAUUCCCUCGUCGGAAAGAUAAACUUGGUUGAUUUGGCAGGUAAUUCUAUUCUAUCAAGAAUUUUGAUAUUUCUUUGCUAUUUGAGGUAUUAAUUUAGAAAACAAUGUUAGAUUCCUGCUGCUUUUUUAUCAGAUUAUGAUGACACCAAAUCAAGAGACAAUGGUUCACUCAAUCUAUCUGUAGGGGCUAAAGUCAACAAGUCACUCUACGCCCUAAUGAAUGUAGUCUUCGCACUUAAUAGCAGUGAGACUUAUGUUGCCUACCGACAAAGCAAACUGACCCGUUUGUUGCAAGAUUUCAUGUGCAAAUCAAGUGGGGCGGUACUGGUAACUUGCUUGGUAAGGCUUUCUUUUAGAUAUAUACAUACCCAUAUUUUUGUUGUAUUAUAUAGUUUCCUUUCUUCCUCUAUUAACCAAUUCGUUCAUGAUUUAGAACCCAACAGCCUGCCAAGAUACUAUUCAUGCACUUAGUUUGGCUUCUCGGUCAUGCCAAGCAGCCAAUGUUAAUUGCACUAGCUCAGCCAAGAAUAGCAAUACUAUUCCAAGGUUUAUUCCACCGUCUUCUCCUUUUAAAGGUGCAAUCCGUACUUUAGAUGGUUCAGUGCUAAAGGAUGAACCAUCUAAAUCUGCUAAGAAUGAAAAAAGAGGAAAUGGAACUCCAUUUGUGCCCAAGACAUUGUUGUAUGUUCCUUCCUGAUGCUGCUUUUUGCUUGGACAUAAUGGACAAAUAUAGUUUGCUUUUUCAACUUACACCUUAACCCUUAUAUAUGCAGGCAUAAACAAUCUAGUUCUACCAAAAGACCUGGAUUUUCCUUUAAGAAUUUACCUGAGGAGAAAUCAAAUGAUACCAUCUCUAUCUUAAGUGGGAGGUCCUGUUGUAAAUUUCUUCUUCUACUUCGCAAACUUUUCGGAUUCAACUUUUGAAGUAACAGUGGGCCUUUUUCUAUUGUUGCAGGAAGUUAUUCAGUGCCAAUGUGAACUCCAUAGAGGUAAAAUAUAAUUUUUCGAAGAUUUCAGAUAUUAGUUCUCAUCCAUUGAUAUUUCCAUUUUAAACUAGGAACUUGCUAUUCACAAGACUAAUAGCUUUAUUUGAGUUAGCACAACAUCUUGGUUAAUUUUUGAUGUUGGACUCAAUUAUCAGUAGUCUUAUAUGAUUCAUGCCAUAUUGAGGUCUCUAUGAGGACAAAAAUUUUGAAAUGUUUAAUGGUGAUUUAGCUAGCUGGCGUGGAUUAUCUUUAUGGUCUCGUUCUUAGAAAGGAUGCUUUAUAACUUUCAUGCAGGAUAGUACUUCAUCUAGCGCUGCUACAGCUGUAGAUACAACUACAAAUGAGGUUGGUUUAGAGUCAAAGUUUUCUGUAACAAAAAUUUUGCCCCAUAAAGUUGAGUUAAUCAAGUCUUUACAUCUUUAUAGGACAUUAACUUACGGCAGUGCAAACAAAUCGAGACAUCUAUAACGGAUGAGGUAGGUACUUUUUUUUUUUUUCCUUCUGGGUAACACAUUAUGCUCAUCCUAAAAUUUUAUAAUCUCUUAAUCUGUUCUAAAAGAAUAUGCAGGAAACUCUGGCAAGCAUUGCUGAUGAUGUGGUGUCUCCUGCAUUGGCAGAAGUGGUUAGUCUCUUUCAUUUAUUUAACUAUUAAAUGGCUUAUGGCUAUACUACUUUUUUGUGCAAUAUUAAGAAGCAUUGUACUAUUUUAUUUUUGACUUUCGCUUCUUUUUUGUAUAGAAUGUUUGUGUUUCAGAUGAAUAUACAGAUCUUCAGGAUACACAAACUGAUGCAAAGCCAGCUAUUAGUGAACAUGGUGCGUGAUGGGAAUCCAUCUAUUUCCUCCUAAACAAGUACAUCUGAAACUGGAAAAUAAACUCCCAUAAGGGCCUAUUUGGUCCAUUUCGUAAUGAGGCAUUGCACUGCAAUGUGGCGAGAAAAAGCCCCCGUUGUGGAACUAUUGAGCAAUGUAGCUUCUUGCAGUUGUUGGAUGCACCAUACUGCAAACAGUUACUAUCGCACGACCUUCCACUGCUCUGGUGGAACUCACCACACUGGACAAAGCUAGACCAAAUGGCCCCUAAUUCAAUUCUGUUUAUACCAUGCAGAUAAUUCUGUUGAGGUGAAGACUCCAAUGCGUGCCCAUCAGACUUCUCCGAAACUAAGUGAAAAGCUGAGAGAGAUAUCUAACUCAUUGAAGCUGCUAAGUACCCAGCCUAUUAACAUUGGAACACCAAAAGCCGAUGUUUCUUGUAUUAGAAAAGAAAUUAUGGAUUCCAUUGACCCAAAAACUCCCGGAGAACCUUUAAAUUGGAGACUAGAUAACCGCCCAACAUUUGAUCCUGCCGAUACACCACAGGACAUACUCAGAACCCGUAGUACAGGGCUGAAGGUUUUCUCUAACCUUUUGUUUCUUUGAUGUCACCGUGUGAUUUCACAAUUCAGGUUACCUUAUCCAUGGAAUUUUGUUAUUAUGCAGAAAUCGUUGGUUCAAGAAUGUUUAGCUUUUCUCAAUUCUGCUAACAAGUAAGUAGAAAUUUGUUGAAGCUAAAAAUUUCCUUCUGUAACAUGACUGUAUGCUGACUAAACAAUGCUGUAUUUUACCAUUCGCUUCUAUUGCACUGAGUUUUUAAUAGUUGUCAGCAUAUCUAGGAAACUUGAGUGAAUAUUGAUUUACUUUUUGAUUGGUUCAAAGCGUUCAUUGUUAUAUUUAUCAUUAGACCUCUUGAGUUUUGAGAUAUAUUGCAUAUUUAUCGUUUUUGAAAUAUAUAAUGAAAGAACUGAAGGUGUUAUGUUAAGAAACUAAUUGUAUCAUUGCAUGCGAACUUAGUUUACUAGAGUUACCUGAAAGUAAUUUAGAGAGUUCUUUCUUAGCAUUCUCUUAAAAGGAUAUUGAUUGGCUUGCUGUCAAAAGAUUUAUAAAGAUAUAGAAAAGAGAGAGGACAGAAUACAAAUUCUUAAGAAUAUGAUAUAUCAUCUCAUUGAUGGACACACUAUCUUGAUAAAUCAUAUAAGGCUUUGCAUUUGAAUUGAAAUCAAAUUCUAUUUUAAUUUCAAAUGAUACAAAAGAUUACCAUUUAACUUGUAUAUCCAAGCGCGCCUUAUUUCACAAUACAAAAACGACUUUUUUAACUAGUCUUUCAGUCUAUCCAUUUGGGACAACUUGAUUCCUAGAAACCAUGAGUAACUUGCUAGUUUAGAGGAUACUCCUUUAAUCUGCAUUUGAUUAUUGUUGGUUUGGAUCACUAGAUUAAGUACUUCUAUAUUUCUAUCUCAUAAUUCUUUCUUUGAUUGCAGGGAGGAACUUAAGGGGCUAAAGGUUAGUUCACAAAGAAAAAGAAAAAUACAAACUUUAUUUGUUGAUUUUUUUUGUUUUAAUUUGACAUUUUCUGUUACUUUUUCAUGUGCAGGGAAUUGGAGAAAAGAGAGCUACAUACAUACUUAACCUCCGUGAGAAAAGCCCAGAACCCUUCAAAAAUGUAAGCAUUCUUAAUCCAAUACCACGAAAGUUACUAGGAAAUAUCUCAAUGCCGCUAAUUUUUUCUCCUCCUUUUACCUAUAAAGUCACUAAAAUAUGGUAUUUAUUUAUUUAUUUCCAGUUAGAUGAUGUUAAAGAUCUAGGUUUGUCUUCAAAGCAGGUAAACUAUCCGUUCCUUUUUGCUAUCAAUCAAUAAUAGAUCUCUCUUCCACAGAAUAGAUUAUUUUCUUAACAUAAUACUAUGCACCUUUUUCUUUCAAACAGAUCAAUAAAAUGAUGUCGAAAAUUUUAGAGGAAUUCUAGUGUUACAAUUCUACUGUACCGGAACCUUCAAACUAGGAAGGAGAAUGAGUCAUGUAAAUUUGCCAAUAGAGUAAAAGUAUUGUUUACCGUAUCGGAACUGACGAACGACGUGUUGAAUAGUGUGUAUCGAGUGAUGUUGUUCUUUGUGUUGUUAUUUGUGCAAUGUAACUUAUCUGUGAUCAUUUACUUCAGUAAUGUAUGUUUGCUAAAUAUGAUUGUUCUUACAUAAUGUUUGAAUAUGGUUGUUUUGGCUUCUUGUAUAACAAUUAUGUAGAAUAUUCCAUGGUUCAAAUUAUAUGAAAUCUAGUGAUGGACUUUUUUUGAGUUGCUCCCUUAACGCGGUUUAGGGUGUAAAAUGCACAUGGUUAUGAGCCUUUAACAUGCCAAGCUUGCAAGUUGCAACAGCAAAACACCUUGUUGUUUAGUAGUACUAUUCUCAGACAUUAUUAUUAUUCUUCAUUAAAUAUGUCUUUGAUUUUACAUAGUUCUGCACUCAUAAGCUGCAUAGGGACACUCAGCUGGAAUUUAUAAGAGAAUGUGUUGUAUUAAACUUGUCCUCUAACUAAAGUAUCACUACCUUUUAUUUAUAGUUUAUACAUAUUUUGGAGGAGAACACAUUGUGACUAUUUCAAUGUUUCAUGAAAGAUGUUGUCAUGUAAUUAUUAUUAUUUUUUUCAGUAUGUAGUUGACCCACAUGAUAAUUGGUUGGUCAAGGUUUUCCUAAUGUUUCAAACAUUUUUUAAAAAAAUCUUAUUGAUAAAAUAAUAUGUGUGGUUUGCUAAUGUGAGACAUGUUCAAAAAGAUUCAAAAAGCAAAAUAAAAAUAGGUAGCACAAUGUAAACGUUUUUUUUUUUGAAAUUUAAAUCAAAUGAUACUAGUAAUAAUAAUUGGAGUCCGGCUGGGAUAUUAUCGAUAGCACCAAGCAUUUGGUGCUACCGAAUUUUUCAUCAUUAGAUUUAAUCCUUUGACUCUUUUCAUCCGUUAGAUUAUACUAUUCAACCAACAACUUACUCAACCUUAGGGGUCACAUCAUUCGAAUCAUAUAUUCCUUCAUCCAAGGAUCGGAAAUCUAAUAGCACCGAUAGUUUGGUGUUAUUGAUAGUAUUUCAGCCUAGUUCUAAUAAUUAUAAAUCUCAUUGAUAGGAAACAUGGUCCAUGACCGACGUGGUGCACUAUGUCCACUCAAUCAUAUCUCGUGGUUUAAACAAUUUAAGAAAAAACUAAAAACAAAAACAAAUGCAAAAACCCACUCUCUCUCUCUCUCUCUCCAAACCUAUUCCUUGCAUAGUUAAAAAAAAAAAAAAUGGAGAGAGAUAGAGCAAGCGUGUGGUCUAGAUUAUAUUUAACAGUACCGAUUGUCAAUGCAGAGAUUAACGAAGACGAAUCGGUAGCAACGAAGUCCGAAUCAGUAGCAACAAAGUCCAUUUGCUAUCGAUAGUGUAUAUAUGCUCUUCUUUGUCAAAUUAUUUAUAAGUGUCUGCUUGACUUUACUUUUAUUUUUAUUUUACGUUGUUAUUAUAUUUUUAGUAGAGAAGUUAGAAAAAUAAAAAAAAAACUAAAAUAAGAUUCUGAGUUUCAAAAAUAGAAGCUGAUUUUGGGGCGGUGAUGAGCCACACCACAACCCAGAAAUCAGAGUCAAGUGGGAAUACAUUGCCUUUCUGUUGGUAUUCGGUUAAAUUGAAUCGGAUGCGCUCAUAAUCUGGCUCGAUCCAACGGUUAUUAUAUUGUCUAAUUGGAUUAGGAUUAAUUUCGUUUUUAAAUUGAAAAGCUAAUUAGAGAUAAAUUCUAAUCAUAUUAAGAUAACAAUUAAUAACCGAUUUGGUCUUAUCUCUUACGCACCUAUUAGGAUUUUGAAAUCCCUUAUAAAUAUGCGGACGAUCUCACAUAAAAGAAAGAGAACAAGAAAACUAAGAGAAAAACGUAGAUACCACAUCCUCCAUUAACCUAUUAUUCUAGAGGGUCUUGAAUGGUGGAUUUGUGAUCGUGCUCAUUUGUAGUUCGAUCUAAGACGAGUUGGAACGAUAGAAGAUUUUCAAGGAUGAUCCGUGGACACGUGAAUCAACCUCUACGAUCUAGGCUUGUCGCGUUCUAGCGCGAAUCGCUUCCGCAAAAAGGUACGAACAAAUACUUCCGCUGUGUUCUACACUUUUCUAAAAGCACAGGUAAAGGUAGCCCAAACGGGUACUAAGAUACAAGAGUAUAAAGUUUUUGCUGUUGGAAAAAGUUAAAAUCAGAGCGUGAGUCUCAAAAAUAGAAGCUUCAUUUCACUUUAGAGAGAAGCUUUUGCGGCACUACUGUACAUGAAUAUGAAAGACACUUAAAAUUAAUAGGUAAAGUAGGAGAUGUGGAUUUAACUCGUUGUAAAAUGGGAUUGAACCCACGACCUCGCAAAAUGAAGGAGUUUAAAAUUGAUUCUUAUGCUAUGUUACCCAAAAGAUGGAUUUAGUAGAAAAUAGGCUCAGAAAUAUAUAUUAGUGACUCACUAUAUUGUUCUCCAGUUUGAAGUUCUAUUAUUUGUAGCAGAAUCAGAAGCAUUCGUUUUUCUUUUGCGGCAGAAUCACAGAUAUUAAUAUCAGAGCUUCUGCUUUUGAAGCCUAGGAUCUCAUUUCUACUAUUCACUACAAUAAAAGUUUGAGAUAACUUAUUUCGCUGAAUGCUUUACUAGAGAUUGCUGUCGCUGAAAGCAGAAGCUGACAUCCAGAUGACAUAUUUCUUAACAUAAAUUUCAUGGCGAAAUUAUGUAACUUAGUCACUAACAGAAAAAUAAUAGUAAUCCUCUUUAGUUGCUCUCUAACUUAAUUUCUAUUAGAUUCUCUUCUUAUGUCACAAUUAAUAAACUUGUACAUCUGUUGUGUUGAAUUUUUUAAUUUAAGAUAAUACUUAGUUGAUGCAGUAGAAUAUUACAUCAUAAAACAUUCAUGAAUUUUUGGACCCAAAUGGACAUGGUUUUAUUACAAGUAAAGUAUGGGCUUGGUGAGCCCAUUGGUCUCUAACUUGGCCACUAUUUAUAAAUAAUUUUUUUAAAAAAAUUACCAACCAUCAUGUAAAAGGAUCAAGCAUUUUUUUUUUUAAAAAAAUAAACAAAAAAUUGUGUCAUCCAUUUGUAUUACUAAUUUACUACACAAAUCUAUGAUCUCUUAUAAGUUAUAUGGUACCAGAGCUAAUUCUGAGCUCUGUUAGGUCGAUAAAGUUUCGAACAUGUUUAGCUCGUCGCAUCUCAACUGGGGGUAAAUCCCCGUCUCUUAAGAAAGCUAAGCAUUUCGCACAAAAAUUUGUGGCUGGACUGUACGAAAAUUUCAAACUAGGCUAAAUAAACAAAAGAUAUAAUUGAAAAGUCUAACCUAAUCUAGUUUUCUUCUUCAGGUCUCAAAAUUUAAGGCGUGAACAGAUCAGCCGAAAAGGAAUGAAUAGUCAAACUUGAUAGGCUUUAAUAGUGAGGUUUGUUUAUUAUCUCUUCUAUCAAUGUCACAUGUACCAUUUCUUUCUUUUUUUUUGUUUUAGCUAAAUUACAAAAAAUUCACUGUCAAUAUCUGCUUUUUUACUUCUCCCAUGCCCAUUUAAAAACCUAUAAUUUGCCCCCUUAUAAAAUAAAAAAUGUUUAUUUUACCCCCUGCCGUUAGUGCCUCGUUAGGGUUCCGUUUAUAAAAUUUGUUAUAUAUUUUUUAUACCAAAAAUACUCUCAGCCUCUUCUCCUGCCGCCUCGCCCUCCUUCGAUGCCUCGCCUUUUCCCUCGUUGUCCUUGCCCAUCUCUUGAUCCACGCCCACCUCGAUUUUCUCUCUAUUGUUGUCGAAAUGGAGCGGUGACAAGAGUGCAAGAGGAGAAGGAGAGCAGGUGGAGAAGAAAAUAGAAAGAACCGUGGCCGAUAGAGGCGCGUACCGCGGCCGAUCGAGGCGGUGGAUGAGCAAAAUGAGGAAGGGGAUGAAAAUGGUGAUGGACAAAUUGGUCAUUGUGUCAUCACAGUUCACACCGUAACCCCCUCUGAACAUUUUUUAUAUUACAAGGGGGUAAACUAUAGGUUUUUAAAUGACAGCAAGGAAAGUAAAAAAGCAGAUAUUGACAGGAGGGUUUUCUGUAAUUUAGCCCCUUUUUUUAUAAAAAAAAAUCAUUUAUUUGGUGAGAGAGAAAGUGUAG
rnacentral:lncRNA from 1 species